AGGGAAGGGGUGUCCAUGUUCAUUUCUGCUGCCCCAGAGCACAGCACAGUGCGUGGGUAGAGUACAAACCCGAUGUACUUCAAAGAUCUGAACUUGGGCCUGUCACAGGGUGGAAAGAGACUUGAGAAAAUUUGCAGCCUCUCAACCAAGUGUCUGCUUCUUCCUGCUCCUCUCUGGUAGACUGCUCAGGAGUGGAAACACCAUCAUCCCAGGGAAGCUUAGGGUAAGUACCUGCCCUUUGAUUCUGUCUUCAAUAUCAGAAUGUAACUUCUUCUCCAAUCCUGUACCUGCCCCUCAUAUCUGGCCCAAUGUCCUGAUCUCCAGGAGACAAUCAGAUGGCAAGAGGCCACUGAGUUAAGGCUAGAGUGUGUGGUCUGCACAUGACAGCACAACAGGAGACGAGACCUGAAAGGUGGGCAGAGUCUGCACCACAUCUUGGGUGAAUUGUGCUAUUUCUGACUUUCAGUCACCUCAUGUCUGUAACUGGGCCAGAGUCCCUGCAUUUCCUAAUUCAUGGGGUCAGUUUUAGGAUUACAGAGAAAGAUGUCCACAAGAUGCAGGAAUGUUUCGCUGAAUAAAUGUUACACGUAGGUUAGUUAGUUCCCUCUGAGACAAAUCUAGACUUGUAAAGGGAGCAGGAAGGCCUCUGAAUGGCCUGAUAGUCCAGAGAUUCUCAAGCUGUUUCCAGGGAUUGCUGUGGAACCUGGGAGUUCGCUGCCCUUGGGAGGGGGUGAAAAAGGCUGGAUCCCUGACUUGAGCUUCAGUCAGAGCAAAGGCUGUGCUUUGCUUGUGAGUGCUGGAAUUCUAGGUAUUGAUUGAGACCCCCACCCCACAAAAUGAGGUGCAUAUACUCAUGGUAAAGUUUGAAAAUCACUGAACUAGUUAGUCCAACCCUCCCAUUUUGUAGAUGAGGAAAAUUGAGAGGGGUGAGAAAGGCCAGGAAAUGACUCCUGGGGCUCUAAUGAGUCAAUCAGUGGGCUUUGACAAGGCUGGGUUUCAUAUUAUUGAAGACACAUUCUCAUGCUCAUUUUCUUCUUCAGAUCAAUCAAGGUGUCCCCCUCCUUCCUUUUAGAGGAGUGAGGCUCCUGCCAACAAGAAAGACAAAGGAUCAAAGUAGAAAAACAAAUGCUAAUGCUCCCAACUCUGCUGCCCACCUACUGGGCCCAAGAGGUUCAAAGCUUCCAGACCAGGAAAGAAAAGCCCAGCCCCCUCCCAGCACCUGGGCUCCUGCUGCUUCUCCAACCCCAUCCCCCCAUCCUCCAGGUCCUUCUGCCACCUAGCUUUCCAGAGCCAUUUUGGUCUCCUAACAGGCUUGGGCCACUGGUCCCCAAAGGCUGUGACCCCUAAGUAGUCCCCUUACCACAGGGACUGUUUGUGUGCUAGGGGUUGUGGGGUUAACUGCAGUGGACUAACUCUUCCAUCUGUUCAAAAUAUGUUUACGAGGUGUAAGCAGAGAAAGGGAUUGGAAAGUACACACACUUCAAACUGCUGAAGAAUUUUGCGAAGUGUUCUGUGUGCUUUUAGGCAAACCACUCCAGUUUUCUGGGUCUCAGCUUUCCACUUUUAGAAAUGAGCAGCUGGAGGAGUUAUUUCUAAGGUCCUUAUCGGCUGACAAAUGUAGCUCCUCCUUGUUCUUUUCUAUUCUCUGAAGGCAUUCUUUGAAGAGAGUUUUCCCUGGAGGAGAGCGCUUCAAGAGGGGAAAAUAUGUCAGGUAUGUGUUCCCUGUGGCUACUUAGGACAGUUUGGAGCACAAGAAAUUGUAAAAGAUGGACAGACAGGGCAGAGUCACGCAGAGUCUGCAGUGGGGAUUGGGGACUGCAUUUGAAGAGUGAAAAGGACCACUAUGCAGGGAGCCCCUCAGGGAAGCCACGGAGGCACAAUGACCGCUUGAUCUGCUGCCCUGUGCCCAGCCACUGGCCACUCAGAUGCCAUUGCUCUCCAGUGAUAUUUGAGUAGGGCUGCAUCCUAAGAUUAAGUAGCAAUGAGUGCAAAGUGGAAAUUAGUGAGAGGCCACCAUCUGUGACUUUUGCUUUUGUAAUUCCUGCUUUUAACGUUUCUCUUUUCAGGCUAAUAAAAAAUGCAAGUGAGUAAGUCACUUUUAUGAAAUCAUUUAUAAAAAUCUCUUUCAGGCAGGGUUGAGGUACAGUGGGUUCCCACACCAACUGGUGGGACCUCAGUGGUCAGUCCUGUGCAACUCUAGAUUGUUCUGUAUUUUAAAUAUCACCUGAACCCCUGGGACUUUUUGCUUGGGGUGCUGGAGCAGAGCAGUGGAAACACAAAAAUCCUCGGGAAAACUUCUUUUCACCAAAAUUCAAAGAAGACAUACUAGGCAUCAUAUCCUUAGACAUGGCUACAGUCCCAAAGCCUCAUGUCUGCUAGCGUGGUACUGUUAGAAAGGAGCCAGGGUUCCCCAGUAUUAACCAAUUCUGUAAAGCACUCAGUGAGGAAAAAAAAAAAAAAAACGGCUAGAGAACUAACCCAGACCAGAUCUAGAAUUUCUUAGGCUGGACAACUGCCCCUGCCUAUUUCCUUCUGCAGGAACUCGCCUGGGCUCUCAUCUACCAAAUUGCUUGCAAUCCACUAAAGAGAAUUCUGCCCUGGUCAAGGCCCCAGAAUUCCCUUCUUCACUUCUCUUCUGGGAGAGGGGUUACUUCCUCUUUGAAGUUUUUGUUUUCAGGUCCUUAGACUUGACUUCACUUUAAACAAACAAACAAAAACUUCUUUUGCUAUUUGCCCACCAGUUAUUGCAGUCUCCAUAACACUUUACAGUAUUUAUCUAUUUAAAAUGCUGUCUUCCCCAGCCAGACCUGGUUUCCGCCAAAAAUGGACCUAGUCCAAGUCAUCUUUGCUCUCCUGGUGCCUAAGAGUACCUGGUACAUAACAGAACCUUAUAAAUCCUGUUAAAGGAGAAGUUGAAAGACUCAAUAAAUAAAAAUGAAUAAAUAAACAAAUCCAUUCCUAGCCUUCAGCUCCCUGAAGGCAUCCCUUAGUUGCCUACCUGGCUCCUCAUGGUAUUUGUGUUCCAGACCCCUGCUGUAAGUGAUAAUUCAUUAGAAUUAGGAUCAGCUGGAGUGUCAGAAAACCCGGAAAUAGCUGUGGCUUAAUCAGGAUAGAAGUUUCUCCCUCAGUGACUGUUUGGAAGGAAGAGCCAGGUUUAGGGUGGUGUGUUUCUCUCUUGCUGUACAUGACCUCUGCUGCCAAGGUCACUUUAUAGCCCAAGAUGAUUACUCCAGCUCCGGUCAUCAAAUCUGUAUUUUAUCUGCAAGAAAGAAGACAAGAUGACAAAGAGAACAUUACUUCCCUUUAAAAAUGCUGCUUAAAAUCUCAUACUCGAUUUGAAGGUAAAUGCUAUCAAUCAAUCAGAACUGUGUAGUAGCCACACUUUCCUGCAAAGGGGUUGGGAAAUGCAGUGUUUGUUCUCAGUGGUCCCCAAAAUGUGGGAGUUGUAUGACUAUAGGAAUAUGGUGAGGGAAUGUUGACUGGAUCAAACCCGUAAUUGAGAAAGACUAGAUGGUGUCUGGAAAGAAGGAAUUCAAGAAAGAAGAGAGUGGAGGCAAGGAGAUCCAUAGGAGGCCGGUUCACAAUUCCAGACAGAUGAGAAGCACAUGAAACAGGACAGUAGCAGAGGGGACAGGAAGGAGGACACAGGUUAGUAACUCAGUGGGAUGAGGGAGGAGAAAGAGUCUAGAAUGAGCCCCCUUUCCUGACUGGGGCCCUUGGGAAUAAGAUUGUACUUGACUGGUUUGGGGAAAUCCAGGAAGGCUUCAGUGUCAGAGGUGGAGGUGAAUACUGAGAACACUUAUUUUUAUUUGGGAUCCUUGACGAGCUGGGCACCCCCAGAAGGAAACCAUAAGGUUCCCCAGAGCAAUUUGUGGGAGUGGGCCGUUGGUCCAGUUGGAAGGAGCCAAGUGGAGUAAGAAGUGCAUUUGGGGGUGUGGGGUCAGAUCCCUAUUCCCUGCCUGGUACCUUGGCCACUGACUUAUCAGUGGAGUCCUGGUUGUCUUAAGGGUCAACAACCAAUUCUUCAAAGAAUUUCAAGCAGAAGUCAUUUCAAAUUCCCCCUAAUUAAAAGGGGUAGAUCAGUGUGUGCCUGGAGUCCUGCUGCUACUGGAGAAGGGGAAGGCGGGGUGUGGGGGUUUACAGAUCCCUUAAGGCAGUAUCCUAACUCUAUGGGGAGGUGCUGGGGAGUCUAAGGAGGGGCAGCCACGUGCCAGCUGGCUGUGCCAAGUGAAGGAGCCACAUGCCUGGGGUUCUGCCAUGUGUUUGUUUAUUUGGUUUGGCUGAUGUAAAACAUACACACACAGAAGUACAGCCUCAGGGCCUGUGUGCAGAGCCCUCGUUCAAUUCUCAACUAAAAUCAGAAACAGUGCAGAAAGAAAGAAGAAAGUUCAAGUAGCAGGAUACAAUCAGGUAGCCAAUUUGUGUGUGUGUGUUUUUCUUCAUUCAUUUAUUUAUUCAUUCAUUCAUUUAGCAAAUGAAUGUCAGGCAUUCUGUAAGGCACUAGGCCUAGAAAGUGAAUUCAACACAGUCCCCUAGAGGCCCAAAGACAGGGCAGGGGAUAGAAGCCUGGAAAGAGGUCAUUUCAUUACAAAGUGAGCAUGCAGGAUACAAAUCUCUGGUCUGGUCUCUUCCGGUCUUAAAAUCAUACCAGGGCUCCCAGCAUCUCUACCCAGACUUUCAACAGUCUGACAAUUGCACCCUUCAAACCCAAUGUAUGCUCCAAAUUCAGGGGAGUUCACAGUCACGCUUGCAUUUCCUGCCUCUAUACACCCUGUCUCCCUGCUGUUCUUUGCUACUUCCCACUCAGCUUUGAGGGUCCAAUGGAACCCUUUGUUGGGGACCAUCCUCUGGGUCCUCCCUGCCUUUCCUUCAGCCUUUAUUGCUGGUGCUGCUCACCUGCUACUCUCAUAGUUCACCUGUACAUUUCCCCUGUGACCUGUGAGCAACCUGAGCAGAGAAGGAUCUUGUCCACAUCUCUAUCCUGGCAGUUAAUCAAUACCUGGCACAGAAACCCUCUUAAUAAAUGCCUGACUAAAUGAACGGACAUAAUUUAGCAGCACCAUGGAUAGCCUCGAUGUGCUGCAAUUAAGAUGCUCUGGGACUCUGAACCCAAACUCCACUGUGAUACAAUUCCUGAGCUCUGUCGCCUCCAACCAGCCCCUUCUCUUCAAGCCUGUUUGCUUGUUUUUUGGCAUAAGCGUUAAUGUUCUGUAAGUAUGCCUUAUGCGUAAGCUUCAUUGUGAGUGUGUUGAUCUUUCCUUCCUUAAUGUACAUGAAACACUUAUUACUGUUAUUAUUAUCAUCACAAGAAGAAGACAAGACACUGAUCUAAUGGGUGAGGGCAUAAUCUAGUAGGCAGGAGAUAGCUGAGUUCAGAUUCUUGAGAGAGGCCUCCCAUGGUUGUCCUGAAAUGCCUGUCACUCUAUUCAUCCAAGCUCUCCUGACUGUUCCUACUCUGGCAUCUCCCCUGAGCACUGACUUGGUGAGCAGCAUUGCAGAGAGGUAGAGGAAUGGGCUGUGGAUUCCGGCUGCAUGGUUCAGCUCCCGCUGUGGUUGGACACCUCUGUCCUUCUCAAAUCUCUUAGCUGGCUCCUUCUUUCUCUCUCUCUUGGUGGGAGCCAUUCUGGAUUUUGUUGAGAUGCCACACCACAGACAUGGGAUCUGUUUUCCUGAGGACUUCUCCUCAGAUGGAGGCAACAAAGAAUAUUGCUCUAGGCCCCAUACUUUAGAGGGUUCCACUCUGGCCCACCCAUGCCACUCCCAUUAAAUUCCAGGGGGUCAGAGAAUGUGUCAACAUAGUGUCCCUAUCCUCCCCUUGCAGACCAUGCAGUGGAAAUGUGGACCCACAAUUCCCAGCCUCUGUAACCUUGAGUCUGCUUCAAGUGACUGCAGUGACAUACUUCCUGAAGGCAGCCCCCUGAUCAGCGUGCAGUCCCCAGGCCUAUUGUGUGACCAAGGGUGAUUAUGAAGAUUGUGACCAGAGCUUGGUUCCCCCAUGUAUGCACAUAAGAUUACUCAUGAUUUAGGGCUAAUUUGUGGGAGAGGCCAGAGGCUGGAGAACAGAGAUGGGCUGUAUCCUACCCACCCUACCUGAUGUGACAUAGCAUGAUGUCCUAGGGCUCUAAAUUCUAAUGUGGCCUUUCACGUCAAAACAAAAGUGUGUUUGACAAGAUAGAAGAGUAGAAACAUUCUAUUUCUCAGUUUGUUUUCCUAUGUGUAACUUCUAAAUAUUUAGCUUGGUGGUAUGUGGGUCUCUGUAUUAGUCAGCUUGCUUAGCUUUGGGCUGCUGUAGCAAAAUACCUUAGACUGAGUAAUAUAUAAACAACAGAAGUGUGUUGCUCACAGUUGUGGAAGCUGGGGAGUUGAUUUGGUUUCUGGUGAGGGCUCUUGUCAACCUGCAGAUGGUCACUGUCUAGCUGUGUAUAUCUUUUCUUAUGUGAACACUAAUCUCCUUCCUUAUGAACUCAUGGUCUCCCAUGGACCCCACCUCCAAAUACCAUCAGGGGUAUGACUCUCAAUUCCUAUCCAAAUACCAUUAGGGCUUCCAGUCUGUCCACAGCAGCUUCUCUUUGUACCCUAGGUUGCUCUAGGGUAUACUAAUGUUAAGGGUAAGUCUGAGGCGAUGAACUCUGAGAGUGUGGAAGGGUAAUUAGCGCGCAUUGGAGGGCUUCAUGGUCAAUGAGAAAAGGGAAUCAGAGGGAAACAAACACACAAAUAACUCUUUCCCUCUCUCCUUUGUGGACUGCACCUGGAAGUGGUUUCUCCUUGCAAAUGAUCCAGCAGAAUUCCACGUGCUGAAGCUCAGCUCUUAAGCAAGCUGCCACAGCUCAGGGAGGUUCAGAAGAGGUGGUGGCCAACUGGUGUGCAGGGCGUGGGGCCUCUCCUCACCUUGCUCCCAUUUUAGUUCAUCCUUAGCACCGGAUGAGCUUCCCCUUAAGGCCCUGGUUUUGCUCCUCUUAAAUGUCAUUACUUUAAUGCUGGCCUUGGGCUCAUGCUCUCUAGGGAACUCAGAAUGACUCUCAAUUCCUAUCAAUUACUAGCUAUGGCUUUAAGGCAGGUUACUUGUCCUCCCUGUGCCUAGGUUUUCUCCUCUGCAAAAUGAGGAUAAAUGAUAAUAGCUCCCAUGUAAAGUUCAUGUGAAGACUAAAUGUAGCCAGGCACAGUGGCACACGACUCAGUCUCAGUGGCUUAGGAGGCUGAGGCAGGAGGAUUGCAAGGUUAAGCCAGCUUCAGCUAGGAUUGAGGCACUAAGCAACUCAGUGAGACACUGUCUGCCACAGUCUGGCUGGGCACAAAAUAACCCAGCGGCCACGAGGCACUUGUAGGUUCAAAACAGGAACUUCUUUUUUGCCCGAACUCCCGCGAACACCACCCACGCGACCCUUCCAGAAACACCACCAACCGGAAAUCCCUCCUCCAGUACUUCCCCAACCAACUCGAACUCUGGGAACUCUGUAGGAAUCCCCGUGAGAACUCCAAAGUAGCAGGAGAACUCCAAAGUAGCAGGCCCAGGUGGACCGCAGGGGUCUAAUAUACAAUUGAAUACACAGCUUAACAUAACCAUCAUCAUCUCAAUGGCUUGCUGGCAUCACCUCUCAACCACUCCAUUCUGGCAAAAAUGCCAUGCGUCAUUCCAACUUGGCUGUGGCUCUCAGCAACUGUCUCCAAAUAAAAUACAAAAUAGGGCUGGGGAUGUGCAUCAGUGGUCCAGUGCCCCUGAGUUCAAUCCCUGGUACUAAAUGAAAGAAUCCUCCACACAAGACACUUCGCCGGGAGAAUUCCAAUUUUAUUGCAAAAGGCUGUGUGCUUAUAUAGAUCUAAGGAGAGAUGGCAGGGCUUAGAUAAAUGGCAGGCCACCCACCCGUUUAUUGGCAAGUUCUUCCAGAUAUCAGCUCCGGAGCCCAGGAAUUAGUUCUUAUUGGGGCUAAGGUUCCCCGCCAGCGAGAUUUGAAGAUUUGAAAUUGGCGCCAGCGGGAGAGUUCACACCUGCGGGAACUUUUCAAGCCAGUGAAAAAAAAGGGGAAAGUAGGAAGAGAAGAACGUUAGGCACCAUGUUGGGGUUUUUUUCUGGGGUGCGGCUGCCGUUUAUACUUUUCCCAGCACUAAAUAUGUUAAUAUAUGUUAGUUUAUUGCCCCCAAAUUGUUAGCUUUUAUUACUGCUCUUUCUUCAGGGGCACUGCAUUAGUCUCCUUGGGCUGCCAUAACAAAAUAUCACAGAUUGAGUGGCUCAAACAACAGAAAUUUAUUUUCUCAUAAUUAUGGAGACCAGAAGUCCAAGUUCAAGUUGUCAGUAGGUUUGGUGUCUUCUGAGUUUUCCCCUUGCCUACAGAUGGCUGUCUUCUUGCUGUGCCCUCACACGGUCAUUUUUCUGUGUGUGCUCAUCCUUGGUGUCUCUUUUGUGUCCAGAUUUUCUCUUAUAACGACACCUGUCAGAGUGGAAUAGAGCCCACCUUGAUAACCUUGUUUUAACUUAAUCACCCCCGCAAGGGUCCUGUCUCCCAACAUAGUCACAUUCUGAAUUAUUCUAUGUCAGGGCUUCAACAGAAGAAUUUUGGAAAAACACAAUUUGGCCCUCUCAAGACCUACCUCUAUGAUGGGUGAUCAACUUGUUCAGAUUUGUCUGGCAUUUUCUUGGCUUCAGAACAGAGAGUCCUGGACCCCAGGAAAUCCUCUAGUCAUGGGCAAGCCGGGAAGAUUGCUCACCCUAAUUCUUCCAGAAGCCUGCCCGAGCCACAAUAUGUAAGGACAAGAAGGACUAAAUGAACCCAGCAAAGAAGGUCCUCAACUUGGAAUAGUUCAACUUAAGGAGUUUUUGACUUUAUGAUGGCACGGAAGAAAUACACAUUCAGUAGACAUUGUACUCCACAUUUUGCCCUUUGAUCUUUUCCCUGGUUAGCAGUAUGCGUGAUACUGUGUUACAAUACUGGGUAGGGGAGCAAGCAACAGCUCCCAGUCAGCCCUGUGACCAUGAGGGAAACAGCUAAUACUUGUUGCUAAGCUGUGAUGCUUGGUGCGAGGUGUUUAAAAUGCAUUUUGACUUACGAUAUUUUUAACUUACAGUAAGUUUAUUUGGACAAAACCCCAUGGUAAGUCAAGGACAUCUGUAUGUAUUUAGAACUCCAUAAUUCCUUGUGAACUUUGACAUCUAUUAAACUGUCUGUGUCCUCAUUUCAGCCUUAUGAGGUGGUAUAGAAAAUAAUAUUACAGUUACAAAAAUGGGAAACAAGUGCAGAAAGAUUCAUCUUUGCUUGGUGACCCACCCUGUUCAUCUUUUUCCUGGUUCUAGAUGUUUCCUAGACCAGUAUGAGGCAACCGUAGUGUAAGCUUCAAUCCAUGCCGUACAAGGGCCCAGGCAAAAGGUAAGCAACCAGGAUGUAUCAAGGAGCCCUAAUAUUUCUCUAUAUUGAUGUGAAUUAAAGAAAUUAAACAGUGAUCAUGCCUGCUCUACCUGGGUGGGGGUGAUGGGUAGGCCACAGGCUGGGCCUGAGCACAUGCCUCUGGCUGGAAAACAGGCAGGGCAGGAGGGAAGCAGAGAGAGAUGCAGGAUGUGUUUGAUGAUCUGCUCUGAAAGGCAAGGAGGGAAGUCAUUGAUUACUGAGCUUUGUUUGAUCUGCUCAAGGAUCAAAGGGACAAACACUAUUUGCAAAGAUGAAAGUUGACCUGAAAACCCUGUGUCCCCACCUGCUGGGAUGCCAGGCUUCCCUGUGCCCAUGGGUCAGGGUGGAGGACUCUCAGAGGAACCAGGGGCAAGACUGUAAGCCCAUCACUUCUUUAACCUGACCUCUGAACUCUCUCCUGACAAUUGCCUUUAAGAAGAGGUUUCUCUCAUCCCUUGGGCCCUCUCUGUUUGGGGAACUCAAGGUUAUAAGGAGACCUGGGGGCCAAGCAUUGCCUCUGGCCUUUAAAGAACAUGGAUAAAUCAUCAGAUAAUAUGGGCUAAAUGCUAUGAUUAGGCUGAGCUUGAAGGUACCACUGUAAAACCCCUAAACCUAACCUGUGGGAGGGUACAAAGGAGGUACCCAAUUUUUGCCUAAAAGAUAAAUUAUAGAAGGAUGAAGUUUUUUGUUUCCUUUUUGGAGGAGGGAGAGGAGAAUCACAUACACAAAGCCAAGGAGGUGAUAGACACCAUGAUACAGUAGGAUUGGGUCAAUAUGAACUGAAUUAUAAUCUGAGCCAGGGCCUGUAUAGUCUUAUUGUCUCCUAAUGACAUCCAGUGAGCUAGCCCUGGGGAUUAUUCCACUUCAUAAUGGAAUGAGAAGCUUGAGGCUCACAAUGUUUGAGCAAAUUGCCUGAAGUCACAUAGUUGGCAUAUGGCAGAGUCAGAAUGUGAACUCAGAUUUGCUUACUUGAAAACCUGGAUUUUCACCAAUAAAGAUGUGGUCACAUCCAUGUUUUAGAAAGUUACCUCUAGUCCUUGGGGUUAACUGGAGAGACUGGAAGUAGAUGCAGAGAGAUCGGUUAGCAUGCUAUUGCAACAGGUUUAGGUGGCUGGCAUAAUCUCCCAACUCACAGGAUUGCUGUGCAAAAAGUAAAUUUAUUUUCCAUAAACUUGAGAAGUCUGUUAACAGAAAUGUAAUCUUGGUUCAUGGGGGUUUCUUCCUCUUUUUCUUCUCCCUAUAUUAUCAUCUGAAAUCUGCAUGGAGAAGAGCUACAUAGUAGAUUAUAGGGUGGGGAUCGGAUGAGAACAGGGAGAAGGUGGCAGUGACUGUCAUCAAGUCAUAUUUCCGUAUCAGGUUCCUAGCCUCUGGCUAUUGGUUCACAUCAAUGUCAUCGUGUGGCCUUUUUUCUUUCCAGACAGUUCUAGACUCUACUUUUUGUAGAUUAUUUAGCCUCAUUUUAUAGCAAAUUCAAUGGAUCUGAGUUAUAUUCUGGGCCUACCUGUCCCAAGUCACUAAUCUUCCUGUUCUUUCCCUGGUAGAUAUCAGGAGAAUUCUGGGACAUUGCCAUUGUCCCAGGCUGAAGACAGGAAGUUUAGCACAAGAAUCCUUGUUCCCAGACACCAGAACUAGAGGGGAAAACUCUCAUCCCUUCCCAUGCCCAGGUUCACCCUAGGCAAGUAGGACACAGACUCCUCUCAUAGACACACUUUAGUAACUUCCUCUCUGACUCUCCGCCAACUCUCCCAGCUCUGUUAAAUUUUAUAUUUUUAGUAAGUAUUCUUUCUAAUCUAUUGUUUAGGCUAGGACUUUGACUGUUAAACCAAUGAUUAGCUUACUUGUUUCUCUUUGUGUUCUGCUAUCGAUUUCUUUCCACUUGGAUCCUGGUACUAGAGAUAUAGUAACAACUUAGUCAAAGCCCAUGCACUUGUGCUGGGUAGACAUAGAUAAUAAAUUAGUACAUAAUAUGUUUGUUUUAGUCAGUUUUUGCAUAAUUUUGACCAAAAUACCAGACAAGAAAACUUAGAGAUGGGAAAAGUUUAUUUGGGGCUCACAAUUUCAGAGAUCUCAGUCUAUGAUAGAUCAAGUCCAUUGCUCUGGGCCCAAGGUGAGGCAGGACAUAAUGGCCAAAGGGCAUGGUGAAGGUGCACUCUUCUGUUUGUGGUUGGUCAGGAAACAGAGUAAGAGGGAGAAAAGGGCCAUAGAUGCACCUUUCCAGGGCACGACCCCAGUGACCUACCUCCUCCAGCCAAGUCCCACUUGCCUACAGUUAACACUCAGGCAGUUCAUUCAAACAAGGAUGGACUGAUUAAGUUUCAGCUUUCACAAUCCAAUCAUUUCACCUCCCAAUAUCCCUGAAUUACCAAUACAGGAGCUUUGGGGGACACAUCAUAUCCAAAAUAUAACAUGUUCCCUGGUGAUAAGUGCUAUGAAGAAAUGUCAGCAAGAAAAGGGGGCAGAGGUAGGUGAGACUGUGACAUAUUAGACAAUGGCUCUCAGUUAAAGGAACACUUGGGAGAGAACCAAAUGAAGUGAAGGAUUAAGUCCCAAGCUUACAGGAAGCGGGAACAUCAAGUACAAAGACCCUGAGGCAGGAACAGGCUUGGUGAUUUCAAGGAGCAGCAGGGAAAGUCCUGGGGCAGAAAAUAAAUGAACGAGGAAGGAGGAAGCAAGAGAUAAAGGCACAGAGGGAGGAAACCAGAAAGCCUUGGAGGAUGGAGGUUUAGCGGGCAUAAUAAGGACUUUGAUUUUUUUUUUUUUAAUAAGAUAGAAAGCUACUGCAAGAUUUUGAGCAAAGAAAUAUCAUGGCCAAGUUAUUUCUCACAGGAUUACCCUAUUUACUAUGUGAGAUCUUGAAUGAAGUAUGGCGGCCAUUUUGGAGACAAUUGCAGAAGAUCCAGGAUAGAGGUAACAGUGGCUCUUAGAGCAGUACCCAUGAAGAUGGUAAGAGAUGGGGAAAUUAGGGAUAAGCUUUUAAUACAUUUGCUGAUGUUUGGAUAUGCAGUGUAAGAAAAAGACAGGAAAACAUGGGAAAGUAGGCACAUUAAGGAAAGAUGCUGCUAGGUCAAGUUUGUGGGGGGACUGUUUCUGCCCCUACAGGAUUUGAGGGUUGGAGGUUAUUUGAGGAGCACUCUCAGGAAUAAUACCUGUGAGGGAGUGAAGGUACCUGGGGAGAAGUUUUACUGUGAUGCAGUCAUGACAGAGGCCUCAGCUGACCCAUAGGAAUCUUGGGAGCUGAGGCAAUCCUAUAUUAUUAUCCAAUUUGACAAAAGGGCUAGACCUUUUGUAGCCCCCUCAUUAGCCCAUCAUUGGAGGCAUGCCACCCCCAAGAAGGAGGCAUAGCAUGAGGCAGGUGGCCUCCUUCUGUGAGGGCAAGUCCUAGAGAGAGGUUCCUCUGUGAUUCAUCAAUUGCCAAUACUUCUAGAAGCCCAGGUCCUGAGGGGGCACUGGGGGGGCCAUAACACUGUCCCCUACAAGUGUCUACUCUAGUUUCCUCAGGGAAGGGUCAGGAGGACUGUUCAGAGCGGGUGACACCUGGACUGGUUUUAAAGGCUCCUUUGCUACUUUUCUUAGUCAUGUGAUUUUUGGUCAGGAAUGAGACAGUGCUUGAACAAGACUCAAACUCUACAACCAAAACUGUUCUAAUUAUGUUCAUUGGUUAAAUCUUAAACUAAAUGGAAUUCUGAAAUUAAUUGCCUUUUAAACUAAAGUGUUUUCAUUUUCCCAAAUUAUAAUAAAUUCCUGAUUUUUCAGUUAGGCUUUAUAUUUUCAAAAUCUGUUGAUUCUGAGAAAAUGCCUAUUUUCUGAGACAAAGUUGAUAUUCCAGUUGGUUCAAAUUUCUAGCAAUUGAAUAUUCCUCAAUGAACAGAAAUCCAAUGUGCUGAUGUUUUUCAUAAUUCUUAUUGGCAGGAAGUUCUUUCCAUGAGCUAACAUCCUAUUUGGAACAAUUUUAGACAUUUAUUCUAGAUUUUUCUACAGAGGAGAUAAGGAAUGAGUGGCAACAGGUUCUGUGUAACAGGUGAUUCCUGCGUGCAAACCCUAUUUUGAAGAUGAUUCUCACCCUUCAUAGAGGGAAAUAUUGGACUUAGGGCCUAGAAGCUGGCUGAAUAUAUUUUAAAGAGUAUAUGCUCAGUGAAUGAGCAGAUAUGUAUGCAUGUGUGGUUAUUAUGUAUUUGCAUCUUUAUGGUGUUUUGUUUUGUUUUGAUACUGAAGAUUGAACCCAGGGAACUCUACCACUGAGCUACAUCCCCAGGUCCUUCCCCCUGGCUUUUUAAAAUUUUAAAUUUUGAUACAGGUUCUCGCUAAGUUGCCCGGGGGGGCCUGGAACCAGAUAUCCUCCUACCUCAGCCUCCUGAGACACUGGGAUUUUAGGUGGACACCACUGUACCCAGCUUCUAGGCAUGUUUUAACAGAACUUCCCUCAUUACUAUGUGGAGAAUAGACUGGAGUCUGGAUGUACAGGGAUGUAUAAAUGUGCACACAUAGAUAUGUAGGUAAGUGUGAUGAGUUUGAGGGAGAAUGAGUAUAUGAACAAUUUUGUUUCUGUUUGUGUGAGAAUAUACAUGUUUAUAAUGCAUGUACAUCUGGGACAGUGAUUCAGGUGUGUGUAUUUAGGUUUAUGAGUAUGUUUGUGCACAUGCACAUGAGAGCAAAUGUACAGACGUGUCAACAGUACUUCCCAGCAACAUGAGGUAAUCAGAUCUCAUGGUUCAGUGGCAAAAAUAUCAAUGCCAAGGUCAGGUUUCUUGCCUGCAGCAACUUCAGUGAUCCUUCUCCAAACAUUUUCCUUAGGGGCUCCUCUAGUUCUUUCCUCUCUUCCCACCAGGGGUCAAGGCCCAGAGGGGCUUCAGGCAGCUUCUUGGCCUUUGGAGCUGCUACUCUGAUGUCCGCCCCAGGAGCCUUGACUGUGGCAGGCUUGUCAUGUUGGACUCUCUGCUGUCACUGCCAAAGUGACAAUUGAUGAUCAGAACUGGGGCUGCCCAGAAACCCAACUUCUGCACAGGGCCCUUUGAUCUACCCAGCCUUGGAGUAGAGCAGAGCCCAGCACAGAUGCCUUUGAUGGGGCCUGGCCAAUGAAGGGCCUGCGGGCUGCCCUUACCCAGUCCCUGCAGCCUUUGAUGCCCACUCUGCCCUGCAAGGGUCAGCUACAGAAGCAGGCAAGUUGGGGAAGGAGCCAGGCAUACUGCACCCUGUGUCUCAGUUUCAGUGUCAAAGCACCAUCUGGGUGCUUGGCCUGGCAAAGAUUAGAUCUCAAGAAUGCAGAAACUCAUUCUCAGAAGCAUUGCUCUUGUGACUACCUGCAUAUCAAUGCAUCUAGUAUUUAUGGAGCACUUUUAGGGUCAGCAAAGCAAAGCUAUAACAUGCACAGCCUGUCAAGUCAGAAUGUUUGGAUUAAAUUUGGCCGCUUAUUAGUUUUUCCAACUUGGGUGAGUUAAGUAACUUGCAUGAGCCCCUCUGUGUCUCCAUGUUCUCAUCUGUUAUGAAGUUGUUAUAAGGACCAAAUUAGAUGUUGCACAUAAAGCUCCUGACACUUAUUGAGCCCUCACAAAUCUUAUCAUGACAGGGAGGAUGAAUAGUUCAGUGCUGAAAUCCCAGGUUAAAGUCCCAGGUUGAAGUCCUAUGACCUGGGUUUAGAUUCCAGCUCCAUGUCCUGGCCCCAAUGUUUUUUUAUUUCUGUUUUUGUUUUAUCUCAUAGGGUUGUUAUGAGGAUUAAAGGAGUGAAUGCAUACAUAAUGCUUAGAAUAGUGUGUGGCAUGGAAUAAGUGCUUCAUAGAAGUUAGUUUUUUAUGAUAAUGACACAGUAUAAAGGCCAGUCUGGAUAUGGUGCUAUGAGUCUUUUUGUCUACCUCAAGAAUAAGUCUUCAACAUUUUUAUUCAUUUAUUAAUUUUUUCUGAGAGGUCCCUUCUAUUCCUAUGAUUUUAUUGCUACUCUAACUCCCAAAUUCUAAUUCAAUUAUGUCACUUCCCUGGCUUAAAUUUCUUUAGUGGAUAGCACUGUGCAAAGAAUAUUCCACUCCACUUAACAUGGCUUUCAAGAUUCUCCACCUUUUGAUCUCUGUUUAUCUCAUCAGUGUCAUAAUUCAUAAUCCCUCUCCUCUCUACCUCCCUGUUCCCUAGACACAGAAUUACUUGCAGGUCUCAGGUUCUUCUGCACCCGAAUAUGCUUAUCACUGCUGUCCCUGCAUUGUAUGCCUGUGAACAUCUUCUAUUUCUUCAAGAUUCAUAUCUCAGAUCCUUCCUAUUUAAAGCAUUUUUGGACCAUUCCCCACACAGUAGAUUCAGCUUCUACUUCUUUCAUGCUCCCCACUAAACCUAGUAUGUGUCUUGGCCCCUCUGACAUGGCAGGACACUUGCUGGUCCACUCUCCUAUAGAAUGUGAGCUCCUUGAGCAGGACUCAGCAUUACCUGUGGAUUCCCAGUACUGAGCACUAGACCCAAUAUGUGGCUGCCACAUGGUUAACACAGAGGAGUUGAGGAAUGAGUGGCAACAGCUUCUGAGAAAAUUAAUUCGUAUGAAUCUCUCCCACUUCUCAAUUCCAUCAGCCUCCUGGACAUCUUCCCCUUGGAGUCCCAUGGCUCCUAAAACUCAGCUAAUCCAUCAUACCACACCAUUUCAAGCUGUUCCUGCUUAAUUCAAUGAAUGCCACCAUCUAUCCACCUAAUCUUCCAAUAUGGAAACUGUAGACAUCUCUGAAGCCCUUGCCCAUAGUCACUAUAUGCACAUCCCAAGCCAUCAUAAGGAUUUUUUGAUUUGACUGAAAUAUUUUGUUGUUGUUGUUGUUACUCUCUUCAUCUCUAUUUGCCUCCUCCCUUCACUGGGAUGAUGUGUAUGUUCAUAUUACCACAUUCCUCCAGGUCUUGAAAAGUUUCCCAACAUUUCCAGGAUAGUAUCCAAACUUCUUGGCAACACUUGCAGGGUAUUCUGGUGUCUGACCCUGGCAUCAUUCUCCAUUUUCACUUUCUCUCAUUGCACCCAGUGCUCUUACCAUAGCUGACAACUCACCUUCCCAAAUAUGCCAGCCUGUGCCUACCACUGGCUCACUGGACCAUCCUUCCCUGGACUGUUUGGUAAGCUCUCUCCACUUCCCUCCUCCCUAGAUUAUGCCUCCUCUCCUUUGCAACUCCAGCCAAUGCCACUUUAUGACACCUUUCCAGAACUUUCUGGGAAACCUUACACCACCUCCUGCUAGUGUUGUUCCCUCUGGGUGGUCUUACAGCAUUUAACAAUCAGCUGGCUAUGCUGGAUUUAUUUCUUCAUUUUUUAAAAAAAAACUGUGUUUAUUUCCCUGACUAGACUAUCAGCCCUUUGAAGACAAAUAUGUGAACUUAAUAAAUAGUCCUUUCUGAACUCAGGUUCUUCAUCUAUAAAAUGGACACAGCAAUAACUGUAUCUUCAGAGAUCAUUUUAAGGGUGAAAUGACAAUGCAGGAGGAGGGACUAGGCUCACAAAAGGCAUUCAGUAAAUAAGAGUAUCACUGUGGUUCUUGCUGGCAGGGGUGAUGCUCAACAAGAGAAGCUUCCAUAGUCCACAGAGCACAGGAUUGCCCCAGCUGGGUUCGCAGCAACUUAAUGGUGCUUUCAAGUUGACUCAAUGAAAUGGAAUCAUCAAUUCCCUCAACUCAUUGCAACUGAGUGACUUUACAUUGUUAUCAUUCCUCUUUGUAGCUCAACCUCCUUGUUUGAAAUAUGGAGAUAAUGAUACUACAUUUAUCUCACAAGGUUGUUCUAAGAAUAAAAUAAUAAGGUGCCUGUGGGUAUUGGUGUUAUUAUUAAUGAGUAACCAUCAUGGAGUAGCUGAAUCUAUGCUUGGAUGAUGCUCCAUAAGUAAAUUAAUAUCUUCAUGGGGCUGCUUAAAGAUACAGGCAUUUGAAGAGAUGGAAACUUAGAGAUUCAAACCCAGUGAUAGCAAUGAUUGCAAAUGGCUGUGAGUGAUGGAAUCCUAGCCCAAGAUGGAGAUCUCCUGCCUGCUCACAGGCUUGAACACAGGUAAGUGGGGUAUGUGGCCCUUUGAGUAGUUCAGAACUAGGGAAGGUUAGAGAACUUUUAUGAUAAUGCCCAAUGGUGCUAGUCUCCUCCCCUGAUCCUGUAAUGAAGGAUCAGGCCUUUCUUCUACUUUUCCAUGAAAGAUGGAGAACUCUGGUAUCAGGAAUAUUCUCCAAAGUUCUUGCUGAUUGCUAGGCUUGCUUCACUCAGCCAGCAUUGUGGUCAAAUGAUGGCAUGGAGCCAUACUGCAUCAGUCACUUUAACAGCUAUGCUACUUGCUGGCUAUGACCUGGAGGGCAAGUAGCUUGGUCUACUUCAAAUCUCUGAUUUCUUGCUUGUAAGAAAUAAGAGAUAGCAUUUGUACCAAUCUUGUAAGAUUUCUGUGAAGAUUACAUUAAAAGCUGCAUGUGCAGAUCAGUAUUUGGUGUCUUCAAUAAAUGUUUGCUCUUUUGAUUAUUUUGCCUGCAGGCUACCCUGUCCACUCUUUUAUGAAGCCAAUGAAAAACCAACUGGGUCAUAUGUCAAGAUAGCUCUCCCCAUCAUAUUAAGUGGCUAUAGUGUGUCCGGAAUGCUUUGUCAAUGCCAGCACUAUCACUAGACCAUGUCUCACAGAAAAAAUAUGCCCUGAUUCCUCUUUUCCAAAUGAUCUUAACCAAUCUGGUCUUUUCUUAUUCCUGGGCCUUUGCUCAUUCUAUUCCUCCAACCCUGCAGAACCUCUGUUCUGUCUUUCAAAUGCCACCUCUUCUAUGAAGCCCCUCAUGAUUUUCUAGUGACAGGGAACCAAUGUCUCUACCUACAUCACUUUUGGAUGUGUAGCUCAACCCUACUUUCUACUAUGGCCACUUUGCACUUUCUGAAUUUCAAGCUUGCUGAGAGAAAGUUUUUAUCUUACCUCAUUGCUAUCUCUCUGGUGCAGGUCCUAGAACAUAGUAGGUUUUACUAUGUGGCAAUUUUCUCCUUCAUUAUGCACUCAACAAGCAGAAUUUGUCCCUCCCCACCAAAUUUCUUUGCUUUGAGAAAGAUAAAUCUAUAGGGGAUAAAACAGUCACCUAUCUGAUGAUGUCACUUUGAAGUUUAGUCUCUCUCUGAGCAGAACCUGAAAUAAGGACGUAGUUUCCGGAGUUAUGGGAGAUAAACCCAGUAAGCAGAUCAGAGAGGAGAAGUCCACAUAAGGUUAUAUUAUUGCUGGGCGUGGUGGUACACACCUGUUAUCCCAGCGGCUCAGGAGGCUAAGACAGGUCAAAGCCAGCUUCAGCAAAAGAGAGAUGCUAAGCAACUCAGUGAGAUCCUAUCUCUAAAUAAAAUACAAAAUAGAGCUGGGGAUGCGGAUCAAUGGUUGAUUGCUCCUGAGUUCAAUCCCCAUAACCAAAUAAUAAUAAUAGUACAUUAUCGAGGUUGCUCUCCAGGCCUCAUUAGCUGUAUUCCACCGCAGGCUCCCAAACAGCAUCUAGAACACAUACCCGCUCACCUGAAGUAUAGGAGGCUGGAACAUUUGUGUCCUGGCUCCCAUACCUCCUGAUUCGGGAUUUGCCCUCUGGAGGUCAUUAGCUCUUCUGUACUUCUAGGCUCUGUAUAUGUGAGUUGCAAAGGCCAAGGAGCUUGUAUGGACCCUGAGUCACAGAGUAAAAAGAUACGCAGGACAUGGUUGAGGUGGGACAUAGAUAGCUUGAGGUGAAUCUGAGAUUGCAUGGAAGUGAGUCAGGGGCAAAGGACAGGUAGUCAGCAUAGAUAAUGAAUGUAACUACCAAAUUGGACAGAGGCAGAAAUUGAAUGACAGUGCACUAGCAAUAGAGCUUUGACCAAUCCCAGCAGGGUCUCUAAGGCUGGGAUGAUCUUUCAGAGAUGUUCCAAGUAGGGACAGGGAGCCUCCCUCUGAUCCACUCAUGUCAACCAGACACUGGAUAUGGCUUACCCUGGCAGAGUGCAUAAACUAGGUUUUCCCUUCCACAGUUGGCUAGUCCAGGGGAUGGUCUCAGCAGAAGCCACCAGCAUAUACUCUCCACAGCUGAAGAAAUGGGGGGCUGUAGUUAUGAAUCAGGGACCUACAUGGUUCCCGCAGCAUCCACGACAAAGCCCAAGACAUCUGGAGUCCCCUGUCAGCAUAGCUCAGGUUAACUUGUGUCUUUCAUCACUUCACUGUUGACUGAGUCAUCAAAGUGAUUUCUUGCUUCAAAUUCUUUAAAACAUUUAAUACAGGAGGCCUGGUUGAAUGAGCUCUGAUCACCACAGUGUUUUGAAAUAACCUUUAUCAUCUCUCUCUUCUUUCAUCCAUUUUAGAUUUCCAUCAUCCUUGGUAAACAGUUUAACCACUCAGGGUUAUUUGCCCAUUUUGGAGAUUAAGUUUUUCAUUUCUGAGGAGUCUGAAACUCUAGUAGCCUUGCUCUUGUUGGGCCUUGAACACUGCAACCAUCCGUUCACCAUUGCUACUGGAUAUGGAAGAAUGGAAAGACAGUGCUCUGUGAAUCUUCUGAAUUCUAGCCACAUUCACCCCACUCCCAUUUUAUAGUAGUGACCUAGGUUCCUCCAAUAUAAUAACUCAUUUCUUUAUCUGUGGCUCCACUUGCAUGGAGAGUCCAAUGUGACACUGUGACAGUUAUAACUUUAGGCUUUAGGCAUGGUGAAGUACUUCUCAUGUCCUCUGGUAGAGAUGUUCUUUCCAUGAGACUAUUAAUCCAACAGAAUUGUGUUAAUGAAAACCAUAAAUUCCACAGCAGAGUCUUGGGCUCAUAUUUUGUAACUAUUGGGGACUGUAGUAGGCUCCAUGAUGACCUUCAAAAAUAUCAAGUUCCUAUCUCUGGAACCGAUAAAUGUUCCUUUAUAUGGAGAAAGUGUCUUUUUAAAUGUGAUUAAGUUAAAGAUCUUGAGAUGAUGAGAUUACCUUGGGUUAUCCAGGUUUGCCUAAGUGCCAUCACAAGAAUCCUUUUAAGAGAGAGAAGAGAUGCAGACAGAAGAGAAGGCAAUGAGGAGAUGAUAGCAGAGAUUGGAAGGGUGGGACCACAAAUCAAGGAAUGCUGCAGCCACCAGGAACUUGAAGAGGCAAGAAAUGGAUUCCCCCCCUGCCCCCCCCCCCCCCCCCAGCUUCUGGAGGAUUCAUGGCCCUGUAACACCUUGAUUCUGACACAGUGAUAAUGAUUUUGGAAUUCAGAGAAUAAAUUUCUGCCUUUUUAAGUCACCAAACCUAUGGCAAUGCUUUUUUAGCAACCAUAGGAAACAGUCACAGGGAAAUGGCACAAUAUAUCCCUGUUUGGUUAAUGUUUAUACCACAUACUGGAAAACAACCUCCCCUGCAAGGUUGUGCCCCAGACUGAUGCCUAGCAGAGUUUUUAAUGGCCCAAUAAAUUUACAGUCUCUGAUUCAUUAUGAAUAUUUAUCAGAAAAUAGAUUUUUAUAGUCAGUUUGAUAAUGGCAUUUCCUAGCCCACCAGAUCUGUGGCUGCGAGGACUGGUGUGAGUUUAUUAAGGUACCUCUUCCCCAAAGAUCACAAAUGACCUUGCUAAACUAUAGGUAGACAAAGUACAAAGAAGACCUUCAGCCAGCCCUUAUAGCCUAUUCACUUUCUCUGCAGAAGGCUGAGACAAAGUUUUCUGAGUUUUAGCUAUAGGAACAUGUGAUUAAGUGUGAUUAAAUGUGAUUAAGUUAAAGAUGGUAGCUUCUGGUUAUAGAAGGUUACACUUUGUCUAUGACUUUGCCUAUGUUCUAUCUUCUACUCAGGCGCUAUGCUCAAUUCAGAAGCAAAAUAUCUAAACCCCAGCAGGACUUUUUGUUUUUCUCCCCUCUGUCCCAGUCAUGUGAAAGGAUCAUUAGCAUUUAAAUCUUCCUCUACAAAGCAAAAAAGGGAAUUUACUCUUCCAGCUGAGAGAGCCUGGGCCUGCCUUCUUCUUAUACAGAGCGCAUGUCCUCCUUGGCAAGGAGAGAAAGAAGGCUAUUGAGUACUUUUUAUCCUAUUUGACAAAAAAAAAAAAAAAAAAAAAAAAAAAAAAAGAAGAAGAAGAAAAGAAAGAAAGAAGGAAAGCAAGCAAGCAAGCAAGCAAGCAUGUUUGGUUUUGCUCAUAGAUUUAAAGCCCAAAAUGGGCCAGUACUGUAAAUAAAACAUGUGAUCUCAUUUGAAAAAUUUAUUAUAAGGAAUUUUGUUUAUGAUUUCAUGUUCCCCAGUAAUAAUUAAUUGGAGGUCUUCUGUGAUCCCCACAGACCAACAAUCAUUCAGACUGUAGGAAAAGAUGAUCCAACACAGCCUCUCCUCUGUCUCUCAGCACUAGCCAAAGGAACCUUCUCGGUUUUGCCUACACUUUAACCUACUUCAUGGAAGUUAAAUUUAUAACAAGACUUGCCUGUUAAAGGGCUUGGGACAUAUUUACCAAGUCCAUGUGUGAUGCUGACGUCAGAACACCCUGUUGGAAAAUUUUCAGCUCAAUAGAUUUUACACUUAAACUGACCUAAGAUGUUUAGAGGUAUUCCUUACUUCAUUUCCCAAGGGCCAAGAAUGAAAGGUUAUUCAACUGUUUGAUGUGGCAAAGGAAACAGGUGUAUCUGCACACCUCCAUAUCCAAUAAAUAAUGAUAAAAAGAGUCAGUCAUACAAAUGGUAACAACUUUUGUUUACUAUUUUUGAUGCAUUAGCUACAGAGUCAAGAAAUUUUUAUGAACUUUCUCAGUCUUAAUGACAGCUAUUUAAGUCCUUAUAGGCUUGGUUAUGGCAUAACAAAUAAUCUCCAAAUUUCUGUGGUUUACCAUGACAAGGCUAUUUUUUCUCUCUUGCUGCCUGUCUAUUUUGUAGGGGUAGCAGUCCUGCUUCACAUUGUCCUUAUUCUGCCACCCAGGCAGCCAAUAUCUGAAACAUGCCCUAUGUGACAGAGGAAAAGAAAGUUCUAGAGAAUACGGUAUCAGCACGGAAGUGAUAUACUUCUGCUCACAAUUUAUUGGCUGAAACUCCCUUCAUUACCCUUCUAGCUUACAAAAGGGUCGAUAAAUACAAUCCUACUAUAAUAUCACAAAAGGGGUUGGGGUGGCAACUGGAAAUAUUUAGUGAACAGGAUUUGUAAUCACACAGCAAACUUAUUACACAAGAGCUUUCAAGAAAUGAUUCACAGAUUAGGAAACUGAGCAACACACAAUAUAUGUAACCUGCCCUAGGAUGCAUCUAGCAAACAUGAGAGCCAAGAUUCAGACUCAGGAAAUUUUAUCUCUCUCUGACUCUGCCCCAAAUAUGUGCACUCACAUGUGUGCAUGCACACGUAUACAUGCUCACGUCCUGAGGUGAUGGCUAACUGGUCCAGAGGCUGUUGGGUGACUGUAUCCUGUGUAGGCAUCCAGGAGAGGAAAUACAAAUGAGAGUGUAACCCAAAGUCCUCAGAGAGAAUAUUUCAAAUCAAGGCAAAUAUGUUUAGUAGUUAAGUCUGAAAGGCAGGAAGAAGGACAAAAAGGAAAAAAGAAACAAAACAAAAAACACUGAAAUCCAAGGGUCAAGAAUGGGACCAAGCAAGAGAGGAAUAUGGUUGGUAGCAAAGAGGGGCUAGUCAGGUGUUGGACACUGACCUCAAAAGAGGCCUUUGUGUUUCUGGAGUGUGGGUUGUCGGCUUGGCUGUUUGAAAGUCUAGGAAGGAAGCUGAACAUGACACACAUUUUCACAGGGGUUGUGCAUCCUUCCUUCCCAACUCAGAGGAGGUGUGAACCCAGAGAUGGAAGAUGGAAUGUUCUUUGGGAGCCUGACUUGGGAGUGUAACUGCUCAAACAGGUUGUCUUUGGGGCUAGCCCUUCAUGUGAAACUGGCCUAAGCCUUUGUCAUAAUGGAUUUAGAGGGAGAAACAUUUCUAUGCUGUUUUAGUCAAGUUUUUUUUUUGUUGUUGUUUGUUUGUUUUCUUUUUGUCCCUGUGACUAAAAUACCUGACAAGAACAAUUUAUAGGAGGAAAAGUUUACUUGGGUUCGUGAUUUUAGAGAUCUCAGUCCAUAGAUGGUUGCUCUGGGCCCAAGUGACGCAUUUCAUUGUGAGUCAAGGGCCCAAUCAAGGAAAAGCUGCUCAGCUUAGGACUGAGUAAGGAAGCCAAGAGCAAAAGAAAGGAAGAGGAAGGGGAAGCAGGAAGAACAACCCUUUCAAGGCAUGCUUCCAGUGACCCACCUCCUCCAGCCAUACCCCACCUGCCUGCAGUUACUACCCAGUCCAUUCAAACUGGGAUGGACUGAUUAGGUUACAGCUCUCAUGAUCGAAUCGAAUCAUUUUACCUCUGAAUAUUCCUUCAUUAACAGGAUAUUUGGGGGAUAUCUCAUAUCCAAACUAUAUUAUAUGCCAUAUAUCCCUGGGUUUUCUGACUUAAUUUCACUGAUUUCUCCUCCUUGUUGCUGGUCCAAGGACCUUUUGAGUUGUGUCUAGCAGGAUUUAUGCUGUCUAAGAAUGAUUGAAAGAGUUUAAUGAAGUUACUACUCACAAAAGAGUGGGCAGAGUUAAGAAAACUAACAGAUGGUGAAGCACCCUGAGGGUGACAAUAAUGGGUCCUGUUGUUACUUCUAGUUCCGAAGGAACAAGGAGGGGAGAGAGUUGCCAGAACAAGGCAGAGCAUUGUCUGUUGGAGAGCCCCUCCUGAUGGGUGAGAACCAUGGCAAGGAGGGAGCUAGGGACUCCUCUCUGUUUCUGCCCUCUGAUCUACUGAUGAGGGCCCCCAUUGGCUGAACUCAAUUAUAAGCCAAAGAGCAAGGGGAUUGGCAUGAUACAUAUGUGAGCCUCCUUUCCUAGGAUACAGAGCAGGAUAGAGAAGGAUGGAGGGGAGCAAAAGUAUUCAGCUCAGCACACACACUGUUCUAGAUUUCUGAUCUUGACGCUUCUGAGGAGCAUCCUCUCUUGAGCUCACACAACCUUCAUCUCUUGUUGGUAUCCACCCCUGUGACAGCAGUUUUGGGCCUCUGGCUGCUACUCUAGGGUCUCUUGCUAACUCAUCUAUUCAGAUAUACAUUCAAGAAAACUUUUAAUUCUGAUUGUGAGGCAGGCCUUGUAUUACACUCUUGGGAUCCAGUGAUGAAUAGAAUCAAGUACCUGUCCUCAUGGAGCUUACAUUCUAAUGAGGAUCACUGACAAUAAACAGAUUUACAAAGAACAAAAUUAAAGAACCCAAGAUAGGAAACCAAGGAAGAGCAAGUGGAUAAGAAUAUGUGGGCUGCUCCUUUUAGAUGUGGUCAUCAGAAAUAUCCUGUAUGAAGAAGGGGAUAUGAUGAAUCACCAUGUACCAUGUGCCGGGCAUGUAAAAAUGAACUGGUGUUGAAUACACUGUCUCUGUCAUUUAGACACAUUCAAAGCUUUUAAGGUAUCCCACUUGAAAAUUGAAAGGACAAGUUGAUUGCCAAUUCCAAAAGGAUAUUUCACAGAUUUAAAGAGUGAAGUACUUUUUGAAACCUUGAGUUUAAAGAAAGGAGAGGCCACUACAUAAAAGAGGUCAGGGGAGGUUUCCUGGAGGAGGCAAUGCCUGAAAUUUCCUUGUUGGAGGGGCCACUGAUAGUCAGAAAGGAGCAGCAAGGACAUUGAGGAGGGACAGGGAUAGAGGGGAGAGGAAUGGUGGUAGAGGGAGUCAAUGUGAGCAAACAGGGGUGAUGGUGACAUAGUGACGUGGGAGCAGUUUAGAAAGCUAACAAGUUUUGCAGACUGCAGGUAGGGAUUCUGCAUAUGCUUUCAACUACCUCCUAGUCUAUUGGCACUAAAAUAUGUCAGGGUAGUGGCUGAUUCAGUAGCAAAAUCAGGCCUAACAAAAUUUUCUCUCUGCCCAUAAUUAGCUGUGUAAUCAUGCACAUUUCUCAGCUUCUUCAAAUUUCAGUUUGCUUAUCAAUCACUAAAGUGAGGAGAAAUACCAACUGGCAUAUUUAUGGCAAUGGCUAGGUGUAGAACAUUUGGCUCAGUAUUAGGCACUUAAUAGCUAUUAUUAUUCUCCUUCUUGUCUGAAAAAUAAAUGUUUAAAGGCAAGCUGUUUAUCUGGACAAAAAAAAAAAAGAAAUUUAGUUUUAGCUAGGAAACCAACUUUCAUAGUAGUCAAAAGCACAGACCCCGGAGUCAAGUUGCCUGGAUUUAAAACGGCCUUCUGCAUUUUCCACUCAAGCAAAUCAGGAUAAAGUAGUAAAUAACCUCCCUGGGCCUUGGAUUUUUGGUUUUUCUCUUUUUAAUCUGUAAAAUAGGAUGUUUAUAGUAACUCUUAUGGCCUGUCAUUGUGAGGAGUCAAUAAAAGGCUGUAGAGAUUAGCAUGGAGAGUUAGUCAGCAUUUUGUCAGUAUGAUCAAAAUGCCUGGCAAGAACAAUUUGGAGGAGAAAAGUUUACUGAAGUUCAGUCCAUUAUUAGCUGAGUCCUUAGCUCUGAGUCUGAGGUGAGGCAGGACAUCAUGGCAGAAGGGCAUAGAGGAGGAAAGCUGCUUAGCUCAUGGAAGCCAGGAAAGGGAGAGGGAGGGGUAGGGGAGGGAGAGGGGGAGGGGAGGAAGAGGGGGAGGGAGAGGGGGAGGAUGAGGGGGGAGGGGGGAGGGGGAGAAGGGGAGGGAGCCCUCUGCUCCUGAGAGACCUUAUAUCCAACCCAUAACAUCCUAAAGAAGUUUCAUUUUAUUUCUAGUUUGCUAAGAUUGUUAAAAACCAUGAAUUGAUAAAACAAUAUUCAACGGAAUAGGGAACAUUUUCAAAUCUCAAGAUUACAUCUUUUUCAGAAUAUUAAUAUGAAGGAUUUUUUAAUAUUCAAUCAGUCCUGCAUUCUCAGAAUAAGUUCACAUUGAUCACGUUGGACACAAUACCUUUAUUUUAUUUAUUUAUUUUAUGUGGUGCUGAGGAUCAAAUCCAGGGCCUCGCAUAUGGAUCACUCUACUGCUGAGCCACAACCCCAGCCCCACAGUUUUCAUAUUUAAUUUGGUUUUAAUUUGCUAAUUUUCUGUUGAGGAUUUUGUAUUUGCAUUAAUGUGGGCUCUGGGUUUUCAGUUUCUUUUCUUAGAAUGUCUUUGCCUGGUUUUGGUGUCAGGGCAAUAUGGGUCUCAAAAAAUGAACUGCAAGUCCCCCUUCUUUUAUUUUUUUGAGAAAAAAGCAUGUAGAAUUGGUGUAUUUCUUCUUUAAAUAUUUGCUAGAAUUUGCAAGUGAAAUUGCCUGCAGAUUUCUUUUCCCAAACUUUUGAAAGUAUGAAUUAAAAGUUUUUAAUAGUUUAUAGGACUACUUAGAUGAUUUGUUUCACCUUGAGUAAGCUUUGGUCAUUUAUGGUUUUCAAGAAAUUUGUCCAUUUCAUCUUAUUCAUCAACUUUAUAAGGGUUGAGUUGUUUGUAAAAUAUCUUUAUUAACCUUUCAAUUUCUUUUCAUUCCUAAUGUUGAUACUUUAUGAUAUUUUUAUCAUCUUUUCUUUCCAGUAUUACUAGAAGCAUAUAAAUUUUGUUGGUGUAUUUUGAUUAAAAGAGAAAAUUUUGAAUGUACUCAUAAAGAAAUGAUAAAAGCUUAAGGUGAUGGAUAUGCUAAUUACCUUGAAUUGAUUAUUACCCAAUAGAGACAUGAAUCAAAUUUCACAUUGUGCCCCAUAAAUAUGUAUAAAUGUUAUGUGUCAAUUAAAAAUUAAUAUAAAAAGAAGUUGUUGGUUUUAUUGAAAUCCUUUAUUAUUUCUGUUUGUUUCACUUUUAUUGAUUUCUGCUUUCAUUUUUAUUUGAAUAGCUUUCGUUUUAUUUUGCUCCUUUUCUAGCUCCUUAGUGUGAAAACUUAGCUUAUUGACUUGAGACCUUUUAUCUUGUUAAUGUAAGGAUUUAAUGCUAUAUAUCUUUCUAAGCAAUGCUCUUGAGAUUUCCCAUUUGACCCAGAGAUUAGAAAUGUGUUUCUUAAUUUUCAUGUGUUUUAAGACUUUUCUUUACUGAUUUCAAGUUUAGUUCUAUAUUGAUCAAAGAAUGCACUUUAUAUGGCAUUAAUGCUUUUAAAUUUGUGAAUUUUGCUUUUUAAGACCCAGGAUAUAGUCUAUCUUGGUAAGUGACCCUGGUGUCCUUGAAAAUAAUAUGACUUCUGUUCUUUGGUGGAGCAUCCUCUAAAUGUCAGUUCAGUCAUCUGAUUGAAGGUGUUACUUGGUUCUUAGAUACAUUUGCUGAUUUUCUGUCUACCUGUCCUAUUAAUUACUGAGACACAAAUAAUGUCUCUAUAAUUGUGGAUUUAUUUCUAUUUCCAAGUUAGUCCAAUUUUGCUUCAUAUAGUUUGAAACUGUUUUUAGGAUGUACAUUUAGGAUCAUUAUAUCUUCUUCACAAAUUGGCUCUUUGAUCAUAGAAUAAUGUCUUUUAAUUCAUCUUGUAAUUUCUCUUUCUCCGAAUUCUACUUUGAUAUUAUAAAUCCCUCCAGCUUUCUUUGACAAGUGUUCGUGUGAUAUAUCUUUUUCUAUAUUUUUAUUUUUAACUUUCCUAUAGUACUAUGUAUGAAUUAAGUUCCUUGUAGAUAGCAUAAAAGUGGAUCUUUUAAAAAAUAACUGAAAAUCUCUGACUUUAAGUUGGUAUGUUUAGACCAUUUGCAUUUAAUACAAUUAUUGAUAUAUUUGAAUUAGGACUAUUAGGACUCAAAUAUUGUUAUUUGUUUUUUUUUCCCCUUUCUGAUUUCUUUCCUGUUUCUCCUUUUUUCCUUCUUUUGGGUCAUUUGAAAUUUAAAAAAUUAUUCCAAUUUAAUGUAUAUUUGGUGUUAUUUACCAUAUCUCUCUAUAUAUUUUUCAUUAGUGAUUAUUAAGGAGUUUAAAUAUAAGUUUUGUUGGUGUAUUUGAUUAAAAGUUUUUUCACAGUAUACUUAGAAUCAAAAUUUUUCACUUAGAGUGAAAUAUAGAAACCUUACCACUUAUAGUUUCCUUACCAUUCUCACUUACCUUGUGAUUGUAGUUUUUAUGUGCUUUAUUUACAUAAAUUGGAAACCUAAUCAGAAAGUUUUAUGUUUUAAACCAUCACAUAUUUUAAAUAAUUCAAGAGGAGUAUAAUAAUUCAUCAUAUUUAGCUAGAUAUUUAUCUUUACUUCUGUUCUUCUUUUAUUUGUGAUAUUGCAAAAUUUUUUAUAGUAUCAUUUCCCUACUGUCUGAAGAACUUUGUAUAUCAAUUCUUUUAGGUAAAUAUGCUAGUUAUAAAUCCAGUUUUAUUUUGUUUAAGAAUAUCUUUAUUCCACCUUCAUUCCUGAAGGAUAUUUUUGUAGAACUAGAGCUCUAAGUUGACAGUUCUUAUUUCAUAAAUUUAAAGAUUAUUUACUCUACUUUCUUCUCUGAUGACAUAGAUGUUAGAACUUUUGGUAUCAUCUCACAAGUUCCUAGGCCUUGAAGUAUUCUUGUUUACUGGUUUUUUUUUCUUUACAUUAUGUUUUUUUUUAGUUUAGAUAAUUUUUGUUUAUCUACUUUCAAGUUCACUGACAUUUUCCUUUGUGCUAUUGAGCCAUUCAGGGAGCUUUUAAUUUUUAUUAUGGUUUUGAUAUUAAAUAUCUUCCCCAAACUCCUAUGUUAAUGCUGGAAUAUUCAGAGAUGAAACGAUUGGAUUGUGAGAGCUGAAACCUAAUCACUCAUCCUAGCUUUAAUGAACUGGGUGGUAACUAUAGGAAGGAUGUGGGUGGCUGGAGGAGGUGGGAAUCUGUGCCCUGAAAGGUUGCAUCUCCCCGCACCUUUGCUUUUUGAUGCCUCCAUGAGCUGAGCAGCUUUUCUCCACUGGGCCCUUCUGCCCUGAUGUCCUGCUUUGCAUGGACCAAGAGCAAUGGACUUGGCCUACAAUGGACUGAACUUCUGAUACUGUGAACUCAAAUAAACUUUUUUUCUUUUAAGUUGCUCUUGUGGUAUUUUGGUCAUGGCAAAGAAAGGCUGAUCACAACAAUAUGGGUAGUGUAUUUUUCAAUUCUGAAAUUUCCUCUUGUUUCUUAUAUUUCUUUCCUGAGAUUUUCUUCCUUUUUUUUCAUUUCAAGUGUAUUCCUUCUAACUUCUUAUAACAUUUUUGUAAUGACUAUGUUAAUAACUUUAAUAGUUUUAGCAUCUGUGUCAUUUCAGUGAAAUAUUAUAAUGUCUGUUCCCCUGUGAGUUUUAUUUUUUCCUAGUUAUUCAUCCACUGAACAGUUCUGGAUCAUCUCCUGUCUAGUUUGAAUGUUGUAUACUGAGCUCUUAGGUCUUGUUUAAGACUAUAGAAUGUGCAUUUUAGUUUUAGCAGGUCAUCAACCUGGCUGGGUUCAGGCCACAAGUUCCAAGUAGACUUUUGUGAGUUUUAUUGUAGGCUGAGUCAUUUUUUCAAAAAUCUUACAAUACUGUUUGGAUCUGUUCUUUUGUGAACCACCUGGUGGCUUGUUUGGAUCUGAGUGGUUGUCUAUUCUACAGGUGAUUUCUCAGUCUUCAGUAUUCGUUUUAGGGUCAAAUUCACUGCCUAGUGAAGAUUCUGGUUGAUGGGGCCCACUAACAAUUGGAAAUAACCCGGGAGGAUGCCUAUAUGUUCUGCAGUGAAGAAUGGUGAACCAGGAUAGCCUCUGUGAGUCUGCAGUGGUACUGUCAGGUGGCAAAGUGGAGUCAGGCCAAUAUGCACGAGUACUGAUCACAGAUCAAUUUUUCUUAGCUUUCUAGUUCAACCUCCUUCCUCCACUUUUUCACUUUAAAAAUGUGUUUUUACUUUCCUAAAAAGCCAGUGGAACAUAUUUAAUGGAAUGAGGGAUAUAAAGUGCAUAGUCUAGUGCUGACACACUGAGGAUUCAUCUAAUCUGGUAGUAAGUCAGAAGGCAGAAUUAAGAAUAAGGUCUGAAUUGCUUAGGUUGGUUUCCCCCUUUUUUUAAUGAGUUUUGUUAGAAGAGUGAGGCAGUCCUAGUCUUUCUGUUCCCCUUCCUGCAAGCAGUUUGAAUGAUAGCCAGUGCUUAGAGUCUACAAAUGAUGUUCAGAGACCAGGACUUGUCAUCAAAACUGGAAGGUAGACACAAUACUCCAUAGAAUUAGCACAGAAACUACACUGUGCAAAAUGCAUACUAGACAUCCUAACUGUCUUGGUAAUCUCAGAUUGGGGCUUUAAUACACACCUCUGCGGACUUUGAGGGCAUCUGUCCAUUCAAAAACAGAGAUCAUGGACUCAGUCAUUGUUGUAAAGUCUCAGUGGAAGUCAUGCAGGUUGCAAAGUCAAAAUAUAUUAUCCACAAUCCAGAGGUUUUUGUUUUAUUUUAUUUUAUUUUUUAAUUAAAAAAAAAUUGUGCUGCUAAGAAUUGACCAAGGGCCUUGAGCCUGCUAGGCAUGUCCUCUACCACUGAGAUACAGCCCCAGUCCCAAGUCAGAAGCUUUUUUCUAAGGAGUUGGAGGGAUAUGAUAAAAGAAAGAAAUGAAUGUGUGGUCCCUGUUUGGACUAAUGCCAUAAAGAAGGAACUUGAUGUAGGCUGAGUGCUCUUCUUCCAGUUCCUGGGUAAUUACAAUCAUUAUACAUACUCAGAGAUUUUUGGAAAUAGAAGGGUCAGAAACAUUCUUAUCCUGAGCCUCAGCCAGAAAUUACUCCUUCUCUUUGAGUUUUUCUGUAGCCUUGCGAAUACUUCUAAAAACACAUCCCAGAGGUGGGGUUAAAAAGAAACUUGUCAUGCUUGAUCCAAAUCGAUACUCCAGCAAGAAGAGUGAAAACUGGGGCUAGAAUUUAGAAUUCUGGUUCCUAAUCUACUGUUAUUUUACAUGUAUCACAUUGUUUUUCUGUCCCCAAAAUCAUGAAUAAUGACAGCUGUCUUUCUAGUUGGUAGAUACUUUAUAACUUCCAAAGAAAUGAGCACAUUUUCCAUCUGUUCUAAUCAGAGUCUGUAGGGAAGACAAGGAAGCCCUAGUCUGGAUGGUGAGAACGCCUGUGCUUGUUUUUAGUCCCAGGAGGACAUUCUGAAGCAUUGAAGAGGAUACAGACCAUGAUGUGAGGUGGGAAUUCCACAUACUGUAGUAAGUCAAAUGUAACUUUUAUUGCUUAGAUGGAAAUUAUUUUUUUUAAUUUUGGAUUAUUUAUGAGAAUGUAAGUACAUGUGUGUGUCCAUGAGUGGGCAUAACUUUGAAUGUCUAUCAUGCCCAUGACCUGCUCAGUGUGUUAUGUGUGGGUGCCAUGUCGACACAUAAGUGUUACAUGCUGACCCCUGUGCGUGCUGCCAGAAGCAUAAGAGAAAACAUUGUUCAUGUGUAUACACAUAUGUGUGAAUGUAUGCAGAUUUGACAGUGCUUUUUUCCCAAACUGUAGGCAUAAGAAGUAGUGUGGCAGAUGCCACCAUGUUGCUUCUUGGCUGACUCCCCAGUCCUCAUUAACACACACAAUUGCCCUACAUCCUUCCUAACUCUAGAUUCUCCAAGUAGCUGGACACCUGCCAACUAGAAGCUGAAACUCCUGACAGUAUCUGGGGGAUCUAUAUGUUUGUAACUAUCAGCCUUGGGUUCACUCCAGGGCAAGAAAUACUCCCCAGGGUCAGCAGGAGAGAAUUCAAAAAAUCCAGUCAGCUGUAUAUCUGAAACGUCUCUCUUGUUGGGCCCCUUAGUGGUGUCCCUCCUAUCUGUCAGGAUCUUGUGCCUCUCAGCCCUCCAUUAGGGCUGUGCUAAGGAAGGCUCUGCCACUGACUUCAGUCUAAAGUAGGCCAAAGUUGUCCUGGAGUAUGGGCCCAUUGGCAGAGAGAUGGAUCCUGUGACAGGCAUUCCUAGCUUAGGAGCAGCCAAGGAGGAAUUUCUUCAUUCAAGGGGACUUUCCUCCCACUAUAAUUUCUGGUGCUUACCCUAAGAAUAGUUCUUGAUAUAUGUUAUAUUAACUCCUAACUGAAUAAAUGACUGAGUAUGGGUAAUGAAAGCUGAGAUUAAAGACUAGACACCAAUUAGGAACAGGGCAGUUCUCUCUAUGACUUGCAAGAUCGACUUGAGGUUGAUAUAGUGGAAGAUAAAAAUGAGCUACUGUUCCACUCAGUUCAGCAUUUAUUAAGCACCUUCUAGGUGUCAAGCACUGUAUGGACACUCAAGAAGAGCUCUUUGUUUGAAAGAAUGUCACAGUGUUGGAAGUGGUAGCUAUCAAUCUACCAGGGCUACCAUAGCCGAGUACCACAGGCUGGAUAGCUUUCAGAACAGAAAUGUAUUUUCUCACAGUUCUGGGGGCUGGAAGUUUGAGAUCAAGAUGAUGGCCAGCUUGCUUCCUUCUCAGGGCCAUGAGGGAAGCAUCUUCUCCAGACUCUUUCCUUGUUUGUAGAUAGGCAAUUGCGUCCUCUUCCUGACACUCUGCAUUGCUUUCUUUCUGUGUCUGUGGCCAAAUUUCCUCUUCUUAGAAGGACACCAGUCAUAUUGGUUUAGAGCCCACCCUAAUGGCCUCAUUUUAAAGAAUCUAUCUCCAAAUCUCACCACAUUCUCAGGUACUAAGGGUUGGGACCUUGACAUAUCAAUUGAUGUCUGGGGUGGGGGAGUAGACAAUUCAGCCUGUAGACCCAGAAUACUUAUUAAUAUAACUUCCCAUGAGAUCAUUUUGGGCUUUCUUAGGUAGAAAGUUGUUAUGAGCUAUCAUAACAACUGCUUCUCUCACUUUGUAGUGGUCCUUGUGUGUUUAGACCACUGUCCUCCUUACUAGUCUGAGGACCAGGUGGAGGCUUCCAGAGUUCAGUACUCCAUUUCUAGUAUCUGGGGUGACUCUUGGCACCUAGGAGAGAGUCCUCAUUGUAUAGAUGGAUGUAACUGAUAAAAUUGAAAAAAGGAAUGAUUUCUGCUAGAUACUUCUAGCACUUCUGCUACAGAUUUCUGCUGGAAGUUCUCAUGGAGCUGUUAAUAAGUCUAAGGAGAAGACUCCUUAGGGAAGAGGGGAGCUGUCUCCGAACUCUUGCACUGUGCUAGAGUUAAUCCUGAUUAGCAAAGUGGUCAAUAGGAAGGAAGCACUUCUAGAACAGGGAUCUCCCCUCCCACCAAGGUUGCAUUUUUCUGGACUUCUCUAGUUUUAGAAGAGAUUUGGGUCUGAAGGGCCAGGUGACAUCAGGAAGCAGAACAAAGAGGACACUUCCUCAUCUCUUGUCUUGUUCCAGCCCCAGCCUGCCUGUUGCCAGCUUUCUUUUCUAGAAUCAGUAACAGGGCAUACAAGGUUUUCAAAUUCAAAAUAAACAAAAACCAAUGGAAUGAAUGUUGACAAUAUUCGUUGAUGUCCCUUGCUUGGGACUGAAGCCCUGAAUAUGUCGGAAUCAUUAUGGAAUGGUCAUCCACAUUCCUACAUCCCUGGCUCAGAGCACCUCACUGAUAGAGCCAGUCAGCCUGCCUAACCUCACUGCACAUCUCCCCCAUGUUUCUGGGGUUGCUGUCUUUAUCUCCCCACCCCCAGCUUCAGAAGGCCUCAGGAUCUAGGGCAGGAAAAGUUCUGCCUGUAUAUUGCCACAUCCUGGUGCUCAUUUUCCUAGGUGCUAGCCAGUCUUGGAGUGCAGGAUUGGGCUCUCUUUUGCGCCCAUGACUUUACCUCUGGCUGAAAUUUUUAGAACCAUGGGGUUUGGUAUCCAGGCCCAUUCAAUGUCCUUUGUUCUACCCUUGCCACAACUGUACCUUCCUUCUUCCCCUCUCCUCCCUCCUCUUGGGUGUCUUCCCUUUGGAAUUCUGUCCAAGAAUGGAUCUAGAGCUGCCCUUCUGGUAGGAUACCUUGUGUGAUUAGGAUACCAGCUGUUCCUGUUUCUACUUCCCAUUGACCUGGGAUUUUCUGGCCCUCCUGGAGCCUGGGUUUAGGGGAAAGAGAGAACAGGAAGUCACAGAAUGUAACUGCAGGUGGUCCCUAAGUGUAGUGGCCUCAGAGCCCCCUUGGCACCUCUCAGCCCUGCCCAGAGACCUCACACUAGCAAACAGAACCUUGAACCAGACAAAAACCAUUAGACAUCAGGACGACAUCCAUACCCUGCCAUGUUCCUGUAAUAAAGGGCCCAGCUAAAUACCUUUGCAAAACCUGUAUUGUGCUGCAGCCCGAGCCGCCUUCCCGGCCAUCCCUGCACUAUCAAAUCUUUCUAGAGUCUUUUGUUGUCAAACCAAAUAUAGCGCUACAUUGUCUGGCCUUCCACCCAUUCUGGCUGGAUAAAGGGGCCUGGUCCCCAGACUGGGGGCGCAGGGCUCUGGGCGGCCUCCUCAAUGCUAUCUCACUGCUACAGCCCACGCUGAGAGCCUGCAGCUCCCCCACCCACCCGCUCUACUCCCGGGCUGGUGGCUGCACCAUUGAUACGGGGUGUAUUCUUUUCCAUAGGUUCCCACGAGCAUGUCACUAACCAUUUCCUGGGCCUUAUCACCAGGAGGAAAAAAAAAAGGAGCGCCUUUGAAAAGUGGAAACAAAACAUCAGGCCCCAUUGUUGUGUGACUUCCCUGGUCACAAUCAGGGCUCUCCAUCGCUUGACACGCAGAGACUACAAACGCGGCCUAGUUCAGAUACUCCAAUCGGCAAUUUGACCAGGACAUUCAUUGUUCUGUAUCUGCAAUCUUUACUGUGCGUGUUUGUGCCUUUUAAAUCAUCCUUUUCAUUUCUCUCUCUCAACUCAGAGCAAGUCAAAAGCCUCUGACAGUGUAGUCACUGCAACAGGCAACCAAGUCAAUUUGCAAACUUCGAGGUACCUUCUUGUUCACAGUGGGAACAGUCCUGGUCACCCAGCUCACUUUGUCCUUUUCUACCUCUUUUUUUUGUGUUCUCAGUUUUCUUAUGACACUUUCUCUUUCUUCCAUUCUGUCUCAGUCCCCACCUCCCACCGCCUCGCUCUCUUUCUCUCUCCUUCUUUCUUUGGUGCAGUUGUCAACUCUCACUCUAUAACUAAAGGAUCAGCCAGGAGUGGGUGCUUCUGGUUAAUUUUUUAUAAUAAAUGAAGGCGGAGGUAAGUCUUAUUUAAUAUUGCUUCUUGCACACCAGUCUGGACUGUUAGAUUUGAAGAAAUUUCAGAGAUGAAUUAUUCAAUCCCCCUUGUUUUAUAGAGAAAGAAGAGAGUGAAGUGACUUUCUCAGUGCCACACAGUGACUUGAAAUGGCCAAGAUUAGAAGCCAGGGCUACUCAAUUUCCUGACCAUUGCCAGAAAUUGCUGAGUCCUUGCUGUGUCUUAAGAUCUCUCUGAAGUCUCAGUGGUAUGCCCUGAUUUUAGGUAUCUAUCUGAGAUGGAAACCAAAGGGAAAAAUUUUUGUCAACCAGUUAUCUCCCAUUUUAGGAACCACUCAGAAACAUUUCUAGCACAGCACAGAGUAGCCAAGAGUAAAGACUCUGCAUGUAGAAAACCCAAACUAGAAUCUUGGCUCUGCUGUUUAUUAGCUGUGUGGCGCUGAGUAAGUCACUAACCCAUUCUGUGUCUCAGAUUCCUUAUUUGCAGAAUGGCUCCAAAACAGAACCUGCCUCAGAAUCUUUGAGGAUAAAAUUAUUUUUUUUUAACAGUGCCUGGCACAUAAUAAAUACUGUAUAAAUAUUAACUAUUGAAGAAUUCCUAUAAGCUUCUGCUUAUGUUGAAAUUCAUCUUUCUAUCAAACAAACUCAGUUAUUUUGAACACAUAGACUUCUCAGAGCUUUCCAUACAAUGAACUUCUUGCAUAUUUAUGGUUUAGUUGAUCCCUGAAGCUGGGGCUCCUGCUCACCAUUGCAGCUGAAGCAUCUGCCUUCUACCCAAUUAACAUUCCUACCUCCACUGGUGCAAGCUGGGUACUAGACAAGGUGCCUAGUCCUUGCCCCUGUAGAGCUGAUGGUCUGGUGCCUGAGGUAACAUUAAGCAAAGAAUCACAUUCAUAAAUAUACAGCUACAAACUGUGAAAUAAAGGAAAAGUACCAGACAGAUUUAGGGGGUUUAUAUUAGGGGGCAAAUCUAAAUUGGGAGUUUAGUGAAAGCAUCUCUGAGAGUGACAUUUGAAUUCUAAAAGAAAUGUGGCGGGUGGCUGGGACACUAGAAAGAAAGCACUGAGGAGGGAGGCAAGCUGGGCCCCCUCGAGCACCUGAUCAAGGGCUGAAAGAAGGCCUCCAUGACUGGUGCAGAGAGAAGGAAGAGGAGGGCCAGGAAGCAGCCACAUGCUGAUCACUCUAGGCUGCACGUGAGUCUGGGAAUUUUCUUCCUAAAUUUUCUUCUUGUAAGUCCUGAGUAGAUCCUUGGGCUUCAGGUAGAGAGUGAAUGGAGUGCAGUUAUUAGGAGUAUGGCAAAGAGGCUAUUUAUCUGGUGCAGGCUAGGGAAUAGGAACCUGGACCAGAAGGGGAGAUGUGGAAAUGAGAUAAGAACUGGAGGCUGUCUGUAUUCCAACAUGAGCCUCUGGGCCUGUGGAGGUGCCAUUUAUUGGUGAAGAGAAGUCUGGAGGGAGCCCUGGGAAUCCAGAGCACUAGUAGUGUUGGAUGCUGAGUACACAGCGGGGUAUUUGGGUCUGGAGUUCAGAUCACUGUAGCAGUCCACAGUAAUGCCCAGAUCAUUUUAUGUGUUGUGAAAUCAUGAACAAAUGAAUGAAUGUGGUGAUGAGAUUUGAGUAAGGUCAACUAAGAUUUGAAUACAGAUCAAAUCUGGCACUUUUUAUUUUAUGUACAUUCAGUGAUCUUGCUAUGAACUGAAUUCAAUAAAAACAGUGGCUCUUUCAGCAUUUGGACUAUCAAGUGCAGGUGAAAGGUAAUGACAGAGCAGCCCAGGUUCUCAGAAGACUCCUGGAGACCAGGCCGAAAUCAAGAGUCCCUAAAGCCCAGGGUCUGACAUAAUAUCUGGAGGUGUACCAGAAGCCACUAAAUAUAGGGAGUUGUAGGAAUCCUUUACCCCACUCCCAACUGUACUAGGUCAAACUCUCCUGGAGUAGACUUUCAUCAGAUUUUUUUUUGAGAUAUUAUAGGAAAUUAUUAGUGUGGUGCUGAGCAUAGAAGGUGGGGGCUGUACCAGCCAUCAAGAACAAACAAUCCCCAAGCCUCGGUGACUUAACCAAGUCCCUUGUGUGUCAGGCCGUGUUCUCAAGUAUUCUCAGAGACACUUUCCCAAUAGUUACUCGGGUACCAAUCCAGUUUCUGCCUUUCAACUUUGGUACCUCAAGGGUCUCCACAUUCCCCCCCUGUGGAUGGGCAAGUGUGUGGAGAACUCACACCUGUCCUUAACUGCUUGGCACUGGAAGCAACACAGAUUACUUCUACUCCCAGACUGCUUAUCUGGCAUGUGCCUCAUCAACUGCAAAGGAGGCCAGGCAAAGGAGGGGAGCAGGGAGAGGUUCAGGGAGGGCUAGCGUGCCACACAGCAAGUGUUUAUGUUUUCUCCUUCUGAUGGGAGGAUUGAAGUGGGAAAUAGGAUUGGAAGGUCCCAUCGAGAGGUGACUGGAGACAGUUAAGGCUGGUAUGUUGGGUUAGAGCAGGGAACCUGGUCUGGCUAGGCCAACCUUUGACACUAAGGGAUAGGAUCAGAAGUCUAUGCCUGGAAUGGUGCCCUACGAACGCAGCACAUUCGCCACAUCUUUACACAUCUUUAUACAUGGCACCACUCACUGGGAAAUGCUGCUACUAUUAUGGCCUGAAGGAGAGGUUAAGGUGACUAUGUCACAGUCCAUGGUCCAUACUCUCUAUUGGAGGUUACAACCCAGAGCCACACAGAAGGGAUGUCUGAAAGGGUGGGGUAGGACUGUGCCCCGACUGAGCAGGAUCCCAAAUCCAGGGAACUCCCCAGGAUCCCCAUUUGAAGGAGCAUGGCCUUCCCACGCCAGAAACAGUCUCCCUCCUGGGCUGGCCUGUCAGUGAAUUUCUCUAUCCUCCAGCAUAGCGAUCUUAUCAAAACAGAUUAAAAAUGAGAAUGGGCCCAUAAAACAUACAUUAUGGUCUCUUGUAGUCUCAUAAAACCAGAUAAAUGCUUUGCUCCGGAGAACCCUAGAUCGAGUUUACACCUCUCUCCCUCCCCAUAAUGGAAUUGUCAACAGCAGAUAAUUGAAGUUAAAAAAAAAUCAGUAACUUGUAAAGUUCAAGCCAGUGCAUUGAUUGUUUGGCCUCGUAGAUUGCCUGGAGGAAAAGCAGAUUACACCAGAAGAUGCCUGGCUUUCUUUGAUUCCCAAAUGGCUACUCCAUGUUUUCUAUGAGGCUUGGAGCAAAGGCACUGAAAGAAAUCUUGUGACCAGGUUCCCAUUCUAGGGCUUUAGCUCCUUCUUCACCUUCCCACUGAUGACUGAGUCCUCAGUUCCAAACUGAAUUCAAUUAGACACCAGGUGUUCCAGUAGGGAUCUGUAGUAUACCCUAAUGACUCAUGUGUUGAAAGCUGGGUACACAGUAGAGCAAUGUUCAGAGGUGGGGCUUUGGGGAAGUGACUGGAUCACAGGAGUCUGACUCUAUCAGUGGAAUUCAUCUAUCAAUAGCUGAAUGGACUGCUGGGAGGUGUGACUGGAGGGAGUAGCUCACUGGGAGAAUAUCAUGGAAGCGGCUUUUUUGUCACCAACCCCCUUCCUCCUCUUCUUCCUCCUCCUCUUUGUUCUCUCUCUCUCUCUCUCUCUCUCUCUCUCUCUCUCUCUCUCCCUACCCCCAUCUCUUUGCUUCCUGUAUUCCAUAAGCUAACAGUUUUCCUCCCUCACACCCUUCUGUCAUGAAGUCCCAGAGCUAUGGAGCCAGUUGACCAUGGAGUAAAACCUCUGAAGCUGGGGACCAAAAUAAUUUUUUCCUCCUCUAAGUCAUUUUUCUCAGGUAUUGUCACAGUGAUGGAAAGCCGACUAACACAACAGGCUUGCUGUGACUCUCCCUCUAAGGUUGUGAACACUUUCCUGAGCAUUGACCUGAGUGGAAGAGAGGGCUGGUGAUCGUCCGUCAGGUGCUCUGUCCUUGCAGCCUCUGCUGCCCCCAGCUGAGGAUGAGUUGCCCACACAUUUCAGCGAGACCUUGCUCAGGUUGGGAGGAUUGAAGGUGCUGGUAUUGAACAAUGAGCCUCAUUCUUGAUGUGCUCCAACUCUGGCCAAACUUCCACCUUGGGUCUCAAACUUGACAAGUGACUCAACUCUAUCUGCACCUGAGCUCUCAAAUCAAUACCGAGUCCCCUGAGAACAGAGACUGUCCAUAGGAUUCUCAGCUGUGGGAAUCCUUCGUGGGUUUCACCCAGCCCCACCACUGGGGCCUCCUCCCAGCUCUUUUCUCAGAAGCUCAAUUCUUUGGGGGUGGUGCCUUUAUGUUGCUUGAAUAAAUCUUUCCAUCAACUACUUUCUCUGUACUCACCCCAGGUCCCUGUGCCCCUCAGCCUACAAAGCUCUGAACUCCUGUUGUGACAGAUAGUGAGAGAAGGAAGAGGUUCCCCUUGAGAAUCAAUUUCAUGAAUGUCCUUUGGUCUGGGUGUAUAGUUCAGCCAACACAACCCUAGUUAUCAACCCUGGUUUCUUCUAAUAGGCUAAAAUAAUGCCAUGCUUUCUGAACUUAGUGUUAGGGCCCCCAUUACCCUCUUUAUACACCUGUAGUAUUCUGACAGUGGAGAUGGCUGUCUCUCUUCUCACCAGAGCCUUUGUUCCCUCCUAAACUUACAGCUUAGACAGCAUUUGUACAGAGCAUCCUUCAAGCCUGGCCACUCGCCAACAACUACAACCUCCACAGUGGUCUUAGAGCUACGGCUCUGCCUGGAGACCACUGAUUUCUCUCCAAUUAUACUUUAUCGUCAUGGAUUGGUUGCACAUUUAUUUCCUGACUCAACUUCAGGGGUGUGAAGGGCAAGGGCCCUCUUUGAAUAACCACUGUUGUCUCUAGCAUCUCACACAAUGCUCAGCACAUGGGGCAGAGGUGUGAUCAGUAAAUACAUGUGGGGUGAUUAAACAUAUUUAAUUGUGUCUGUGUAGACCAAUUCUAAGCAGACAAGGACUUUUGUAAUGUGUUGUGACUGUUUCCCCACAAAUGGCGUAGGGAAGUGCAUUGAUUCCGUGACCUCCUGGGACGGGCUGUAAAACACAACUGAGACAGAAUAAAUGUCUGGUUGUUCUGUUUUGACUGGUGACAAGAGUUGCAAGCUGAUUAAUACAUUUAAAGUGGUGAUCAAUUUGUCUUAUUCACAUCCUCUUAUCCUGAUUGUAAUGAGUAGAUCUUUUAACAUAAUGAAAACUGCAUAUUUCACUCAAAUUCACAGUUUUGCAUUCCAGAGGAGAUGAAAUGCUGUUCUUUAUUUAAGGUUAAAAUGAGGUGUAAGCUCUUGUCUUGGGAGACCAGGGGAGGUGACAAGCCACUUCCCUCCUUGAAGGCCAGAGUGUGGCAUCGUCUUCAUCUUUUGAAUUUGGCUAUGAAAAUUGGUUGGCAGAACUGUAAAAUGGGAAGGCACCUUUUAAGUCAAUUUGUCUAUCACUUGCCUGGUUUGGGGUGGCCCAUAAAGAAACUCAGAUUGGAGGUUAUCUAGCUUUGGCCUGAAUACUCUCUGGUGAUAGCUCCCAAGCAUUCACUUUAUUUUUCAAAGUCUCCAAGUAUAAAAAUAAUACUUACAUCCCUCUAAAAUCAAUCUCUCCAGUGUUACUAUUUCUGUAGACUUACCUUUUCUCUUCCUUCUCCUCUCUUUUCCUCUUUUUCUCCUUUUUUUAAAGUUCUGAGUCUUUUCCCUUGAAAAUGUCUAAUACCCUAGUAACCCCUUAUAAUUUUUCAAAGGCACAGAAUGGUUGCUGUGCCUUCCACACUGCCUGGAAGAUUUGGUGAGUGGUUUCUUGUCCAUUCCCUGGUAUGCUCCUUCUCUCGGACUAGCCUGUCCUAAAGGAGGCAGCAGCCUCUCUGGCCCACACACAUUUCUGCCUCCACCCGGAGCUUGCGUGACACACAGUGGGCUCUCAAUGCUUGUUGAAUUAAUUGAUGCGUGCAUGAAUAAAUGGUGGUGCCUGGAAGGCAUUUUAUUAAAUGUCUGCACUCCUGUCCAUGUUGGUUGCGUAAGAGCCAUCUCUCCACUAAGCAGCCAGCAGUACACAGGGACAAGGUGAAAUGGGAACAGAAAGAGACAUUCAUGCUAUCUUAGGUGAUUCAAUCUGUGCCCGGAUAGCUCAGGAGCUCUGGAGGAGGCUGUGGUUUGGUCAUGGGGACCAAAGAAGUGGAGGAAACCCGAAAACAAAGGGAAGAAAACAGAAGGUACGUAGGAAAGAGCAGAGGUGGGAAGCAGAGACAGGGCUGAGGAUCACCUGUCUGGGCUCCCAGUGAUUCCGGAUGCCCUGCCGCAUUCCCCUGUAGGGCUCCAGGAGGUGACCUGCCCCCUUACCAAACUGCCCAUCAUUGCUCAAACCAACUGAAAAUAGUUUCUUUACUUGCAGCCAAGCGUGUCCAGCUAAAUAAGGGUAGCCAUGAAGCUGUCUGAGUCUUAAUCUUGGAAGGGGCCACAGGCAGGAGUGGCAGAGGGGGGGUGCAGUAGGUUUCUGACUGAGUCCUAACCAGGUGCCCUCUCUCCCAUGCUUUGUUAUAUGAGGUCACUGAUGUGCAUCCCUGUCCUCUGUUGGCACUCUUGCCCUGCAUCUUGCUUUUAACAAAAGAAAGAGUGGCUUCCAGAUGUAGCAGAGCAGUGGGAACCCAAACCAAGAGGAAUUCGCUCUCCAUAAAUUAUGCUUUAAUAGAUGUCAAUUAUUAAUUCCUAAAUAAAUAUUUGUUAAUAUUCAAAAGAGUUUGCCUACUAAGAAAAACUCAAGCUACACAGAAUAAUUAGUGCUUCUCACUAUGCGGUGGCUGCGGCCCAUGUUUUUUUUCCCCUCCCUUUCUGCAUCUUUAUUUCUGAAGUGUGAAUGCCUGAGCUUGCUGGGUUUCCUGGGGGUUUGGCUGGCCCUCCUCCCAGUGGUUUUGGUUUAAGGUGUGUUCACAACAAGGACACAAGGGGCAGGCUGUUCCCAUACAUGCUCCCAGGCUUUCUCUUUCUUCUUUGUACAGCAAGAUUUUGAGAAGAAAUGAAGCUAUUACACAACUAAUGAGAGGAAAUUAUAAAUCUAGACAAAAACUGGGAGAGGGUUCUAUGGAGAGUUGGGUUAUUAGGCAAGACAAGGUGGGGAUAGAAAAGUCUGCAUGUGUCUCCAGGGCUCAAGGAAUGUGCAAACUAGUGGGCAGAGCGCAUCAUGGUAAGUUCUUCCCUGGAGGAGAGGUCCAGGAAAUGCCAGGGGCUUGGAAAAGCUAGAAACCAUAUUAAAUUGAAGGCAAGGGAAGGGAGAAUCAAGGACGGAAAUAGAAUUUGAGACACAGGUUAAAGUAGAUAGAAUUUUGGUGGGCAUCCAAGGCCUUAGCAUUUGGUUUGAGAGGGCCAUCACUCAUUUACUCAUCCAUUUAAGAAACAUUUACUUGGAGCAACUGGUAGAUGUUGGCCAUAGUCUGGUUGCUGGGAAUAUAACAAGCAAACAAACAAACAAGCAACAUAAAAAACUUGGCCUGUGGGCUGGGGAUGUGGCUCAAGCGGUGGCGCGCUCACCUGGCAUGCAUGCGGCCCGGGUUUGAUCCUCAGCACCACAUACAAAAACAAAGAUAUUGUGUCCACUGAAAACUAAAAAAUAAAUAUUAAAAUUCUCUCUCUCUCUCUCUCUCUCUCUCUCUCUCUCUUUCUCUCUCUCUCCUCUCUCUUUAAAAAAAAACAAACUUGGCCUGUGAACUUAAAAGUUUCUAAUUCAACGAUAUAAUGAAACACAAGUCACAUAUAAUAUAAAAAUAAUCAAAAGGUAUGGGUUCAACACAAUAACUGCCUUUAGCAGGAGGUUUGAGAAAGUGUCACUUGGUAGGGACUCUUAAUAUAGAUCCUGAAGGAUUAUUCAUUCAAUCACUAAUUCACAGCCUUAUCUACUGAGUGCCUGCAUGUGCCAUGUACUCUCUGUGUGUCAGGGUCUAGAACACACUCGAUGUGUUCAUCUGAAAUGAACCAAAAGACUAAGUUUUUUCUCAUGGUGUUUACAUCCUAGGAGUUCUGCACAUUAAGGGGGAGGCCAUUCCUAUCAGAGAGAAAAAAAAUAUGCAAGUGUGGAAACUUGAUGUCAUGGGUGUGGCUGCAGCUAAAGAUGAGGAGGAAGGGGGUUGUCAGGAGGUGGUACUGAGGAAGGAGUUGGGGGCCACGAGUUGCAGGACCUUGGAUGGUGGGCUAACUACUAAGAACUUUAUCUAGAAUGAUAUAUAGAUCAAGGAAGGUGUUUAGAGCAGAAUUGAGGAAGGUAAUGUUGAAGGUUCCAUGGAAGCUACAUAGGAGGAAAAAGAUGUUGGAGCCAAGGGCCAGUUAGAAAGUGAUCACCAUAGCCCAGGAUACUCGUGAGGAGGUUCCAAACCAGGGUGCAGAUGGUGGGGAUGGAAAAAAAGUAUGUUUGAAAUGGAAGCAUAUCUCUUAACCUUGUGUGUAUGUGCGAGUGUGUGUCUAAACUCUUUGAGAAUCUAAUAAAAAUUUCUAGUUCCAAAUAAUGUUCAUGGUCACCUCUAUGUAUUAUUUUGCAAACAACUUCAAAGGGCAUGAUUUCCGUAUUAAAUACUACUGAGUUAUAGGAAACAGUUGGGGUGAGCAGAAGCCAGGAAAUGAACACAAAAAUGAAGAGACUAUUGUAAUGCUUUGCACGUAGAUGUGGUGAUAUUCUAGUUCUCCUUUCAGAAUGCUGCUUCCUAAGCCCUUCCUCUGUCUAAUACCCCCCACCCUUCAGCUACCCUGCAGACUUGCCUGACCCUGUUCCUACUAUUAAAGUAUCAGUUUUCUCAGUUUCUCUACCCAUUCAUUGGCUGGGGAUAAUAAUAGGAACCACCUUGAUAUUGGGGGCUAAGUGACAUAAACUCACACUAAACAGUGCUCGUGUCAUUCAGACACGAGCCUAUGCCAGGACCAAGGGGACAAGUUUCUUCCUGCCUUUUCCAUUCUCAGGGCAAAUUAGAAGGUUUCCUCAGUGGUAUUAGUAACUCAUGGUCCAGGUGAAGGAGCACCCCCUUAUAGAUGCCGGAGUACUAGAGCUGGGAGAGCCACCAGGAAGAAACAAAUCUCUCCUUGCACACAUGACAAAGAUAAGGGCCAGAGAGGCGGAGACAUUUUUCCAGGGCCACAUAAAAGUAAAUGGCUGAUCCGGAAGAAGGUCUCCCAUCAGCUAACCUCACAUCCUUUGCCUCUCACAGAAGGUGUCUUCUUCCUUCUUUGUGCUUCCAACAAAGUAGCUUGUCAGUCAACAGUAAUGUCAACCACAAUCUACAACCUGCAUAGGAUCACUGAUCAGCAAGCUCUGUGAGUGCGAGAGCUCUGGAGUGUUGGAUGUGACCAUGGGGAAGGAGGUGUUGGCUCAGGUGGUUGCCUGUCUCCCAUCCCAAGUAGGGACAUCAAAGGCCUUGCAUGUGACUUCUAGCAAUGAGAAUGAAAGAACCUAAUGGGAGAUGGGCAGGGGGUUGCCUGAAUGAAAGGGGAAGACAUGUGAGUGGACUUGCUCAGCCCCCUCAGAAGCAGUCCUUCCCACACUCACACUAAACAGUGCUGUGGGAAGACCCGGGGCCGGGGAAGGUUGAGUUAGCUGUCAGAGAGGGAAGCAGAGGCUACGUUUUGCUUUUAUUGUGGCCCAGGGCCAAGUAAUCUUCCAUAUAUUAUAUUUUCACAUAAACCCACACAAACACCUUUAAAGGGUCUCUCAGAACCAUAAUCAAAAUGAGUGGUAAGCACAGGAAGGUGGAUCUGGGAUCUCCCUGGCAUAUACCACAGGAAUGGUUUGGCCUGAAUGGUCUGGCUGGGCCUGAGCCUGUUAGGCAGUGUGAAUAAAAUUGUGUCUUUGCUGGAUUGGGUAAGAGAUUCAUAGUUGUGAUGCCCUGACCCCUGCAGAAGGAUCUCAUAGGUUGUGGUACCUAUACUGGUGGGCAGGGAUAAAAACAGGGGCCAGUGAGAAAAUGUGGGUCGAGAGAGGCCAGACAUGGGCCCAAAUCAUAGAGUUGUGGUGUUGGUUGUCCUGGGUUACCCCUAGAUGAGGUUGGAUUGUGGGAAUGAAGAACGAAGGCCUGGGAGAGUCAGGGUUCUGGGGUCAAGUACUGGCUCUGCACAGGGAAGCUGUUGACAUUUGGGAGAGUUAUUCGUAUUUGAGAGAGAAUAGUACAGAACUAUUAAAGUAUCAGUUUUCUCAGUUUCUCUACCCAUUCAUUGGCUGGGGAUAAUAAUAGGAACCACCUUGAUAUUGGGGGCUAAGUGACAUAAAGCAAGUGAAGCAGUUGCCAGAGAGCCUGCGUUCUAUGCUGAUCAAAAACUCCACCAAGGCACAAACACGAACUGGAGGCCCUCCCGGAGCCAGCUGCUCUUGUCUUUGCCCCAACAGCUGCCUGAAUCCUUUUAUAGCCUUCUUUUUAUUUAUUGUAAAGCAAACUUUUUAAGAAAGAAAAACAUACAUAUAGAAAAUUGUGCAAAUCAUCAGAGUUUGAUGAGUCUUCUUAAUGUGAACACACUCAUGAAACUGGUUCUCAGAUUAAGAAAGUGUCCCGUGGGUGCCGUCUAAGGAAUACCUAUUCCUCUUUAGUUAGGGUAACCUCUUUCUGACUCCUAAUACCAUGGAUUAGUAGUGUUUGCUCUUGAACUUUAUAUAAAUCGAAUCAUAUAAUAUAUGCCAUAUAUAGCCUUUUAUGUUGGCUUUUUCCAAUCAAUAUUGUUUGUGAGACCCAUCCAAGUUGUAUGGAGUUGUGAUUUAUUUAUUCACAUCACACGUACUAUUCUAUUAUAUGUACACAAUUUAUUUAUUCAUUUUUAUGGUUGAUGGGCUUUGGGGUAGUGUCCUGUUUUUGACAAUUAUAAAUGGUGCUGCUAGACCAUUCUUAUACAUGACUUUUGAUGACCAUAUGUAUGCAUUUAUGUUGGUUAUACACUAGGUUGAAUCAAAGUAAAUGAAUCUACUUUUUGUACAUCAAGAAGUCCAAUACUGGCAAUUUCAUAUGGCUCAAUCUAAUAAUCAAGAGUAGAAAUGUCAGGUCAUGAGACAGGCACAUUCAGCUUCAGGAGGUACUGCUGGCUUCCCAAACUGGCUUUUUGCCAGCAGUGUUUAAAGCUUGCCAUUCCUACAGUCUGUAAAUGAAUGCUACCCAGGUCCCUCUGCUGAAACUCGUCUACCCACAUCUUCUGUUCUUAAAGGUCCUUCUGAAUCAUAAUCUCUCAGUAUCCUCUGUGUUUACUUUCCCCUUGGGAGGGUCUUUUUGCCAGUUCUAAACCUGACCGAGCCAUGCUUUAGUGUAUGAACAAUGUUGUUCCACGUGAGACCAGUGCAAAGAACAACUUCCCCCGCCAGUGACAAUCUUGAAGAGCCUUGAGUUUGAUUAGUAUUAAGGAGUACAUGCUCCUUACACUAACAUUUUUCAAUCUGUCCCUAGACGGGGAAUGUGAAGUAAGAGGACAGGAGACAAGUCUCUUUCUUCUUGCCCAGAACCAAAGAAGCCAAAUAUUGCCAGGGUGCUGGGGUUGAUCAGCACCUACCUGCCAAAUGGAGGUAGAGAGGGUGAUUCUUUCUCCUUGGGCUUCCAUGUCUUGGGCCUUGCCUGGUCAGCUUAAACAUUAGCCACAGUAGGCUGAGUGUCCAGGGCCCACAAGACAUUUAGGGACUCAUAAAAAGGAUCUUAUUCUAUUCUCAUAAAAAACAGAAAAAAAUAUGAAUUUUGGGGAAGAAAAUGUUUUGAUUUAUAAUCCUAAUAAAUGCCUCUUUAUAUCAAUAAAAUCUUAAAAUAUAAUUUAUAUGUGUGUGUGGAUCAAUUUACUUAUCUAUCUAUUCCUCUGUCUAUCUAAAAGGAGGAAAGAGCCCAUGAAAGUUGUAGUGGUUAGAGUCCACGAAAGUCAUGAAUCAGCUAUACUAUGGGGAGUGGAUUAUUUGAAUUAAUGGUACUCUCUAAGUUGAGUUUCCCUUAGGAAUAGCAUUUUGAUAGUUCCAACUCCAUAGAGCAAUGUCUACCUGAACCAGACAGUAAAAGGGCCACUUGAAGUUCUUCACUGCACGUCAGGGCCUCGGAGUAGGGUGGGCUGUAGGGGUUCCUUAGACCUGCCUCCAGAGUUGGUGUGAAAUCUGAACCUAUAGAUAGUAUGGAUUUAAUUCCCUUGGAGUGAGGAGUGGGAGUCCUUGAUAAGGACAGGAUUAUUUUCUCUGGUUUCCAGAGUGGACCUCAAUGUAGGCAUCUAGAGCCUAGUCAUAGCCAGACCUCCCUCUAACCUGCUUUAUUUCCAGUUAGUUUCCUCUUCUCAAUGUUGCAUGUACCCACUGACUAAUUUAGGGGCCAGAAUCAGAGGCAUUGAGAUCUUAUUUCUUCCAAACAUAUCUUUGUUGGUCUAGACUUCAAGGAAAUAACAAAUGAUGAAUAGCUGUUUGCUGGCCAGAGGCAUUUGAAAAGAACAAGCUAUUUAAAGCUAUGUGAAGCACAACCAGGUUGGGAAAAGAUCUGUAUCAAAUGGGGACAGAAAGGAAUAAUUUCACAAAAUGCUUAAUUGUUUAAAAUACGAACAGCCUGGGACUAUUUUAUUCAUAUAGUUGUGUUUGAAUUUAAGUAGAGAGAGAAAUGAACAGGGAAAGGAGAGCAGAGGCUUAGAGGCAGACCUAGCAGGCUAGGGUUCAACACACAGUUCUGUCACAAAUUUGUUCUGUGAAUCAUAAAAAAAAAAGCACCCAGUCUCUCAGAGCCCCAGUUCCUGCAUCUGCAAAAGAGGCCACUGAAUAAUUCUGAAGGCCUUUUCUAGCUUUUGAAUUUUAGCACAUAGUAGGUGCACCAUCAGUAAUCUCUGAGGGGGUGAUGGAGUGAGUUCACCAUUGGGACUAGACCAACGCCAUGCCCUGUGAAAUCCGGCCAUAGAGGUGGUGAGCGCAUCAACAAUGCUGAGGCUGAGAGGCUGAGACCAUCUGUAGCCAGCAUUUGUACUGCCAUAAAAAUAGCAUAACAAGAUUAUAUUGAAAUAUCCCACUAUUUAACUUAAUAAUUUAAAUGUUUGCCUAAUGAGGUGGACUUGAUUGGAUUAGGGCAUUCACAAUUAAUUUUGAUAGAUCAUUUUACACAUUGGAGGUGCAUUCUUCUGAACCAGGAGGUGGAACGGAAGUGCAAAAUGUUUACGUUCAAACGAGCAUGUGAUUUUGCAGAAAACAUUAAUCCCAGAUCAUGCACACUAAGUCAAUUUCAAAAAUGGCUUCUAGAUAUAUUAUUAGAAAUUGCUCUUCAAAUAUAAAAAGCUUGUAAUAGAGUUCUGUCCAUUUUUCCUUUGGCUGAUGGAAGUUGUUUUAUAAAUAUGCCUAUGAUAUGAUGUUUUCUUCAUCCAAGCCUUUUGGUACUAAUUGCAACUUUUUAAACAGUGUAAGUAGUAGCUGUCAUGAACACUUUGAGUCCUAUUACAAAUACAUACAUCUCAACAGUUUCGCAUUUAGGGGUGCAUUCUUUCUUCAACUAUUUUUAACUAUGUUUUCCCUUAUUUUUUUUUUAAGCAUUUGAACUGAAAACUCUGUUCCUGCCUUUUUGUCAAGGGAAUGACUUGAUUAUGCAAUAGGAAAAUGGCUCAAUCCCCUCCCCUCAUAUACUUUUACCCCUCAAAAAUAAAAGAGCCAGGAACUGUCAUUUAGAUCCAACCCUGGGAGUCAGGAAUGAGCAAGGGCAAAUGGCUUCUGGAAAGCUGGUUGGAACCUGGUUAUGAAAUCCAUCCCACAGUGCCAGCAAAAGCAUAUUCCUCAACGCUAUCCCUGUCAGAGCAGAAUUGCAUCUCUGUCAGAAAGUGAAGUGAUGGACAGUGUCCAUGGGCAUCAUGCUUCUUGGAGAACUUUUUGGGUCUCAUUCUUCUUUGAAAAAUGGGGCCAAAUCACCCAUACUUCAAACCAGAGAGAGCUGGGGGUCCUAGAGGUGACAACAUUUGGUGAAAGAGAGAUUGUAUUGAUAUACGCACUGGUUUGGAACUAACUGAUCAUGGUUCAAAUGCAGACUCUGCUCCUAUUAGUGGGUAGCCUCUGGGAAGCCACUGAUUCUUUCUCUCAAAUGCAUCAUUUGGAAAAUGGGAACUGCCUUUUUUGUCAAGGGAAUGACUUGAUUAUGCAAUAGGAAAAUCACACCUAGUGGAGAAUGAAAUGCCACAUUCCUGAUACAUGAUAGUAGCUUCAUAAAUUUUACUGUCCAGCCCACUAGUCUCUUCUGGAGAAAAGCAGCCCCAAAUUCAAGGCACCGUUGGCUUUUGGUGUCCCAUGUGGUUCAGAAAAAGUUGUGGCAUUUAGCACAGGGAGGUAGGCCAGUGGCUUCCUAUCUAGGUGGGCAGAUGAGGUCUGCUUUGCAGGCUCCAAGCCCCUCUCCCUUGGCAAAACCACCUGAAUCUGCCUACCUCCCCUUCUGAGGUCCAAGAUCUACAAUGAGACUUCAUUAAACUCAUCCCUUGUGAGGUUUCAAUGGCCUUCAUAAUAAAUUCCAAAUGCUUUUGCAGAGCACUAAAGGACUUCCUAUGCUGCCCUCUGCUUGCCUGGUUAUUCCUCUUUUCCUCUCUCACUGUGCCACCCGCUCUACCCACCCACAGCACUCCUCUCUGCUCUCUGACUUCUGAACAUACUAACUCCCUCCAACUUCAGGUCCUAUUUCAAAGGACUCCUGCCUCAAUCUGGGAUGCUCUUACCCCCAUUCUUCAACUAGAAAAGAUCUGCCACACAAGGUCUAACUCCAAUGGAUCUCGAUCCCCCAUGGGUGUAACCAGCAUGACUCAUUCAGGUCCUCUGUAGCUUUGGUUUGUAAUUUGUCCUUGGGACAGAUAAUAUUCUGUGACAAGAAUGUGUCACAGACUCCCUCAGAAAACUGCCAUGUGUUAUCGUAUCUAGGUCUUCAGGAUCCUCAGGAAUCAGGCUGAUCAUAAAGCUCUUAAAGUCCUUCUAAGAACCCUAUGGAAGGAGGCACUGUUGGGGAUUCAUUUUGCACUUGAAGAAGCCGAAGUUCAGAAAUGCGAAGAAAUUAACUUGUCCGGGGUUGCACAGCAGUUGGAUGUAGAAUAGGGAUCUGAGCCUGGAGAAUCCACUUCCAAUUGUGUGCUCUUCCUGCUACUCUGGAAGCCUCUCUGCUGUCUCAUUUUAUCUUCCAAAUGACCCAUGAGGCAGGCAGGGAAGAACUUUUCUGUGGAAACUGAGGCUCGAACAGAAGCAGUCAUUUCCCAAGGCUUCAUAGUUCUUCGUGGAGCUGACUGAAGUUUGGGGCUUCUGAUUCUGGAUUGGCCUCUGCAUGUUGCUGUCCCCUUUAGGGACCCAUUGCCUCACCUGCUCCAGGGAGCUGCCUGAAACAGGAAUAUGGGGUGUGGACUGUUGCAUGCCUGAUGAAUUCAUGCCUUUCGGGGCCCUUCUGAGCCCCCUUACUACAGAGGUGACGAGUAAAUGACAAGGGGCAUCUCUGCUCCCAAGGGAUUCCAGUCACGCGAACUCCGCCAAUUAAGGCUAGAACGAUGUCAUCUCCUGAAAUAGCAUUUUAAUGAGUGAUGGCUCUGGGAUAAAUUGUUAUCUCGUGAUCCCUCGUUAGAGAGCUUAAUUAGAUUCAUCAUAAAACAUAUUGAUCGAUGGCACUGAGCAUGUCUGCAGGACGUUCACCAACAAUCCUGCCCACUCCUUGGCAGAGCCUGGAUGGGACAGUCCCAGGCCCUGAGAGCUGUUGGGGCACAGGUUUUUCUGGAGCACUAGGGAACCAUUCUCCUGAUUCUUUCCUCCCUCCCCUCCUGUUCUCUUUCACAAAAAUAUGUGUUUAGUCCAACCAACGGCCAGGCACUGUGCUGCCCUCUCAUGUUUUAACUCAAUUUAUCUUCACCAAGUUACUUCCUUAUUUUGCAAAUGAUAAAAACCAAGGCUUGAAACCCCAAGAUCCUUCGAGGUACAGCCCCAACCAACUGAGUUACCUUUGUGGCAACUUCUGGGGGAGAAGCUAUCAUACUCAACACAGUGACAAUUUUUAUUUUUGUUUUAUAGUUGAGGAAACUGAGUCUCAGAAAUGUCACUAAAAGUAGUACAACAGUUAAUGUCAGAGUUGGAACUAUAGCAUGACUUUGAGGAUCUCCAAAUCCAGACAGAUGUGGGUUCAAACCCCAUCCUUUUAUGUAGGCACUGUAUAAUGUUAGGCCAAUUACACAAACCUUCUGAAUAACUAUAACACUGAAAGUAAUUGUUGGACCCAUCGAAGAGUUAUUGUGAGGAUUUAAUGAAAUAAUGACUAAUAAAGUGUCUAAAUAGUACCUAACCCACCAAAAGUUGUUCAAUAAAUAGUUUUUCUUUGAAUAUCUCAACUAUUUCCCCUUAGAAAGAAACUACCUGUGACCUCAUCUAUAAAAUAGGUAUGGUAAUCCCUGUCUUGAAAUACUUUAAAGGGAAGCAUUUUUAUAAAAAGGUAAAGAUUCAAACAGCAUUUAUUAGUCACCUUCUGUGUACCUGUGCACCAGCAUAAAGCUUGGAGUUACUGCCUACUGCGUGGGUAAAUCUUAUUUGAAUUUGUAUGUUAUUAUUACAUUUAUUAUUGAAAUAAUGCAUUAGCAAAAAGUGGUGGUAGGGAUGGGGAGGUAGAUGAAGAGGAAAACAAAAGGAGGGGCUAAUAAGAUUAUUGAGACUUCAGCAGAAGUGAGGAUUUCUGUGGUGGUCCAGAAAGUGACCCAGCAAGUCUUAGAGAUGGUGAAUGAUUAUUAAUUCAAUGGCUUGAGCUCAGCAGGGUAUGUAUGCAUUUAUGGUGUAUGCAUGAGUCUGCAGCAGUGUGUGUGUGUGUGUGUGUGUGUGUGUGUAUGUGUUGGACCAAAUGCACAUAAAAUCAUAGAACUUUUCAUCAGAAAGGAUUCUGGAGACUCAUCCAUGGAUUGUACAAGCAGGUGUGUUCAUGUGUAUGUGUGUGUGUGUGUGUGUGUGUGCGCGCGCGCUCGCGCCUGCAUGCACAUCCCUGUGUAUAUUGAGGCCAGUUUCCAUGAGGGGGUGACUUUCCUCACCUGUGUGCACUUGGAGAUUUUUUUCCUUUUUUAUUACAGUAAAUGUAGCUUGAAAGCUGGGCAUAGCAGAGCUUUUCCCCGAACACAGAUCACAUCACAUAAUUUUUCUUUCAGAGAAAAAUGCAGCAAAAUAACCUGCAGAUGGUGAAUCCCUUUCUCUUUCUCUUUCUUGCUCUUGGGCUCCCCCACCCCAUCCCUUCUCUGAGUCUCUCUGUCUCUCUCUCUUUCCAACUGUUUCUGUGUCUCUGUAUCCUGCUUCUCUCUCUGAAGCUCUAUUUAUAGCUUAAAAUGCUUUCAUAUUUUCACACUUAGCAUAUAAAAUGUCCCCAUGUUACAUAAAAUAGCAUACAUUCAGGUCUGUAAUUAGAUCAGUGUCUCCUCCUAAGUUUCACAAAUGAAUGAUCACGCUGGUCGUUGUCCUACCCGUUCCCUACUCACGAAUAUUGCCAGGACUGAGUAUUCUGCACUCUUUCUUCUGUUUUCUUUUUGCCACUCCUAAUGACAAUCCUCUAAUCUGACUGCAACGGGAUCCCCUUCUGAUUGUCUCCUUUGCCUCCACCAUGAUGAGAUCAGUGUUCUUCAGGCAGCAGCUCAGAGCAGCCUGGACCUCCUCUCUCUCUCUGGGGAGCCAGAGGAAGGCCAUUAGAAUUUCUGGAUGCAUUCACAAAAUUCAUUUCCCCAAACUGGCCCAAUACAAGCCACCACCAAAGGAAAAGGGGAGCUAGAUCUCUUCCCCCGCUUAAAACAAGAAGGCACAAUUUUAAAAAAAAGUGGGGUGGGGGAACCAAGAUUCACUUCUAACCAAUCUGGACAUGUGUUAGAGAAUAUUGUUGAGAACAAUUAGGGAUGUCUGAGUGAGGGGUUUAUUUCUCACUUGCUUGUCAGGUCAGAAGACAAUCUGUUUAUUUUCCUGCUACAAUUUUAUUCAAUAAACUGAAAGGAUGGGAGCUGGGAAAGAGGGUACGAACAGGAUGUGUGCUAUCAAUUUGUCAAAUAAAUAAUCGUGCUUGGAAACAACAGAUUUUAUUAAUUAGACAGGAUGGUGUAUUAUUACCAUUAAAGUGUUAUAUUGCAUUAAUUUUUAUAUUUUACUCUGCUACUAAUUACUGUAAAAGAUUUCGGGAAUGAAGCAAAAUAAAAUCAUGCAGCAUUAUACAUAAUGUAAAGAUAGCGUGAAUUAAUUUGUCCGCGCUCCCGCCUGCAGAGCGAGAGGAGAGGCACCGGGCGGCCUCGGCUGCCGUGCUUGCCUGACUGGUCAGAGGCUCAGGGCCCCAGCACCAGCACCCCCUGCUGAGACCUUGUUGCUGGAGAGGCUGCCCCUGAAAGACCAGGGUUCAAGACCCGGUUCUCUGCGAAUUUGCUUUGUACCCCCGUGGCAAAUCGCCUCUCUGAGACCUCGGUUUCCUCUUCUGUGAAUGCAAACACUCUUCUCUGCCUUCCUCAUAGUGUGGUUGUAAAGAUACUCAAGAGAAAACGUGCUUUAAAUGCAAGAGGUGGUGACAGGGGCUCGAGAUGCUGCAUAUAGAUUAGAGGAGACACAAAUGGGGUUCGGAGUUAAGACCCUGUCGGGCAGCCUGGGUCAGACUCGGACGCUGCCAGGGCCCCGCAGGCCGGGUACUUAGGACUCUGGAAGGCACUCAGAGCACCCCAAGAGCACCCAGAGGUGCCACUUCCCUUACUGGGCACUGCCUCAGAGUAGUGCAAACACCAGCUCCUGGCCACACUGCGGCUGAGCCAAGUAAACAUAGAGCAGAGGGCACCUGGCUGGACCCCGGCAUUUUAAAGUAGGACCCCUCCCUCGGGGGACACCUGCACAGUGGGAAAAAGCACCCUUGUUAGAGGGGACUGGCUUUUAAUCAACCCCCACGCAGCCACACAUUAGCUAUCUGGCCACAGCACGUCCCUUUAACCUCUCUGAACUGUGGAUUCUUCUUCAGUUUAAAUAAUAAUAAUAAUAAUAAUAACAACAACAACAACAACAGUAGUAGUAGUAGUAGUAAUGAUGACGAUGAAAGGUUGUCCAGGCAGUGAAUCCCCACGCCGGGUACACAGUCUGGGAAGGAUGCGGUGCUCUGGGCUCCCACAAGGGUGCCUAGGGUCCUGGGGACUCCUCAGACAGCACAGCCACCAGGAGCCCCGGAGGAGCCCGCUCGGUCCAGCUCUGUCCAGGCGCUGCCUCCCAGGUCCUCGCUGACCUCGCUCGGGAAGGCUCGGAGCGCUGGGCGGCCCCACGCCCCACCCCGGGGGCGCGGUUCUCGGCGCGGCCGCCCAAGCCCAGCCACGUUUUUCUCCAGGCUGGGUCUCCGCACCUAGGGCUUGGCGAGGCCGACAUUUCUCACGACCUACUGCCACCUACUGUCUUCAUCAGGAAACUGCAAGCCCGGCGCGGCAGGCCUCUGGGAAGUGGCCUUGCGGAGGGGCAGAUCCUUGGGUGCAUGCCCUCCCUGUGACUGGAGCCUCAGUUUCCAGUAUGUUCUGUGUUGUGGUUGGGUGGGACCAAUUCAGCCAGGCCGCCUGAAGUCCUGGUGCUCUGGUUUGUACUGUUCCUGCGGUGAUGAGACACCUCGGGAGAGCAGUACUAGGGCGAGUCCCCGGUCCCAUCUGACUACACCUCACUUUAGAGGCUUGAAAAUCCUGCCUCUGGGUUUGAAGGGCUGUUUCUGGUUAUCUAUAAGGGACCGGUUGUAGGGCUUCCAGAGAAUGUUGCCACUAUUUCUAGUUUCCCGAGUUAGUCUUUCACUGACACUGGAAGUCAGGCUUUGACCCCCUCUGAGCAGGACAAGCCUUUACCCUUCUCCUUACUCUGGAUCCCUGACAUUAUUCUCUCUUAGGGCACGUUAUCAGUCAACCCUGCAUGAAAAGAUUGCUCCCCAAUCCUGGCUUCUCCAAGGCUGAGUCGGGGUAAAUUGUUUAACCCAUUUGUGCCUAAUUUUUCUCAUUUUAAAAACAACGGUAGUGCUCUCCAUAUAUAGGGUUGUCACCAGGAUUAAAUGAGUGAAUAUAUGUAAGGACUUAGAACAAGCCUGGCACACAGUAAGUGCAUUGUAGGUGCAUAAGAAGUGCAUUAUACAAGUCUUAGGGAUUAUAUGUGUUAGUACAUCUGUGCAUCCUUCUCAAGACUUCCAUUUGAUCCUGAGCUCCCUAAGUGCUAAACUUCUUUCUGAUUCAGCCAUGAACCCACAGCCAUUAUGCAAAGAAGCAGUAUUGCUUUAUCUGUGCAUUCAUUAAUUCAUUCAUUCAUCUCAUAAAUGUGCCAAGCAGUGUGCCCUAUAAGAGUAUUAAUGAGGACCGAGUCCUUUCUCUACUGGAGUUUAUGUGGCUUGGAGAAGAAAGAAACAGAGUGAAUGAAUAAAUAAAUGAAUAAAAUGGGUUUGUUUGUGAUAAGUGCUAGGAAGAGAACAGCCAGGGACUCUGAAAGAAUCAUGGAGGUGGGGGUGAGGGAGAGCUUUGAAGGUGGUGUUGGGAGGAAUCCCUCCCAGAAGCCUCUGAGGAGAUAAUAAUGAAGAAAAAAAUGUGAAGAAUGAAAAAGAGAAAGUUAAUGGUUGCCGGAGGUAUAAGGAGAAGAUUGACUGCAAAGGGGCGAGAGACACCUUAUAGGUGAUGGAAAUCAUCUGAAUUUCGACCUUAACAGAGGUUGCUUGAGUAGGUUUACCUAGUUGUCAAAAAUCCUUAUGUUAACUUUCUCAUUGCUGCAACCAAAAAACCUGACAAGAACAAUUUAGAGGAGGAAAAGUUUAUUUUGGCUCAUGACUUCGGAGGUUCAGUUUAUGGUUGGCCAGUCCAUAACUCUGGGCCCUAGGUGAGGCAGAAUAUCAUGGCAGAAGGGUGUGGCUGAGAAAAGCAGCUCAGGACAUGGCAGCCAGAGGGAGGGGGUGGGGGAGAGAGCAAGUGCUAGCUCUACUCACCAGAGACAAAAUAUAAAUCCCCAAAGAACACUCCCAAUGACCUAGUUUUCCCAGCCACACCCUGCCUGCCUACAGUUACACCCAGUUAAUCCAUAUCAGUGAUUAGGUUAAGGUUCUCCUAACUUAAUGAAUUUCAUAUCUGCACAUUCUUGCAGUGUCUCCCACAGGAGCUUUUGGAGAACACCUCAUAUUCAAACCAUAACACUCCUAAAACGGCUUUGAAAAGGAGUAAAUUUUAUUGCAUGCAAAGUACACUUCACUAAAGCUGAUUUAAAAAUAAAGAUAAUAACCAAGUGAAAAACUCAAGGAAGAGGGUUUCAGAUUUAAGCAAGAGCCGAUGGGUGGCUCCUGAUGCAGGAAAUGUCUUGUCAUGUCCUGGGAAGGUCUGUGAAGAUGAAGUCUGAUAAGGAAGAGAGGAGGUGGCAAGGGAUGAGGCCGGGCUGUGACAUUCAGGACCUGUGGGCUAUGGAUUUUAUUCUAAGUGUGAUGAGCAGAAAUAGCCUUUGAUUUGCUAUCAAAAGUCCCGCGCUCUGGUCUGAUGUCCCUAGCUGUCAUCUUGGACAAAUCGUUGUACUGUUGUGAAACAAUUUCGUAAUCUGUAAAACACGAAUAAUCAUGAUGUGUAAGGAGCCAUCAAAGAGGGCUGCAGCCAGGACUGACUGAAAGCAGCCUGACACCUGGGGAUAUGUGCACGUUUUUAUUGGACAUUCAAAAGAUCGCUCCUUGAAUCAGGUGUAGGGACCUGUGAUCUUCUGAACAGCAGUUGGUGGGUAGGGUUGGGGAGUGUGGAGAAGGGAUGGAAAAAUGCAGGCACUGAGUCCUCCAAUAUGUCCCACCUACCCAAUGCUGUUUUUUCCCAUCUUUUAGAAAUUUCUUCUUUCUUUGUUUCAUAGCACAUGUCACAGUUGAUAAUUAUGCAUUUAUAUUUUGCAUUACUUUGUUCCGUGUUUGACUUUCUGCAGACUAUAAGCUUUAUGAGGACCAGGUCCAUGUCUGUUCCCCAAAUCACCGUUACCUAGUGCCUGGCACAUGGGAGGCACUUGAUAAAUACUCACUGAAUCAAUGAACAAUAAAUGACCUUAACCAUCAUUCAUCCAAAAACAACUAACUCUCUCCUGGGCUGGUUCUGAUUUUUUCCAAAUAAUCCACCCCCUAUUUUACCUACAGGGAGCUCCUCUCCUGAGUCUGCGUCCUUGGGUUCUCCUCGGUGUGCUCAUCCCAAGCUCAUACUCCACCCCUGCAAAUUUUCUUUCUUUUAAAAUAAGCAUCUAUACAAAAUGAUGCCUAGGAGGACUGGUCAUUGUGUUGCCUUCUCCUUGAUCCUUGACGUCAGGAACUGCUUUUGCCUCAGUUUAAUCCCCUGAAGGACACAGGAUAGAACUGAGUCUUGCUUCCAUUUUCCAGAUGAGGAAUCAGAGAAUUGGAGAUGAAUUGACUCAUCCUGUGUCACAGCUGGGAGUGGCAGGGACACAGCUAGAUCACUCUCCUGGCUCUACACCGUGACAUCCUUGCUUCGUGGUCCUCCGUGCAGUGCAGUCCUCCCUUCCUGCCGUGGGCACUGAUGAUCCAUAAGAAGCCACCUGAGCGUGGUUCUCCAGAAAACAACGGAGGAGGAACAAUAGCGGCACUCAGGACAGCACUGUCCCUGUAGGCAUCACAGCCACUGCCAGUAGCCAUCAGGACAAAGGGGGAAUGUUGCAACACGGACCACCCUAGGUCCCAGACAGCGUCUGCAGAGCCAGGUCUGCUGGGUUUUCAUGUUGGUCUGGCCACCUUCCGGCUCUUGUGGGCAAUUUAUUGGCGGUGUCUGUGCCGCAGGCGGCUCUUUGUAAACUGGAGAUGGUAGGGUGACUCCCCUGCGGGGUUUCUGUGUGGAUUAAGUGAGUUAAUACACGCAAGAUGCUUAGAAAAGUGCCCGUCUAAUAGCAAGUGCUCAAUUACUGAUUCUUUCUUUCCUCCCUUCUCUCCCCUCCCUUUUUUCCUCCUUCCCUCUCUCUUCCUUCUUUUCUUUCUCAUUUUCUCUCUUUACUUUCUUCCUUAUCCUUCUCUAUCAUUGCUUCUUUUCCUUUUUUUCUCUCUUGUUCUUUCUUACUUAUUCUAGUCCUUGCCUCUUCCCUGCGUGUAACUUACUUCACUAGGAUGCACCGAUAAAUACUCACUGAGCUAACAGAUAAAUGAAUAAGAAAAUGAAGAGAGCAGAGCGCCAAUGUUUGGGACAGGAUGGGAAAAAGGAAGGCUGAAGCAAAACAAGACAAUCUCCUGUCUUUAGUCUUUGCUUUUAUCUUAAUGUAUAAGCUAUGUUGUAAGAGUCAAGAAACCUAAACCUGGGGCCCAAAACUUUUAUGCUGUGUUACUUUGGGCAAGUCAAAAACCUCUCUGGGCCUCUAUUUCUGCUUCUGUAAGACAGCACCAUUGAACAAAAUCAUCCCUAUGUUUUCUCCUUCUCUGCCUUUAUAAGACUACAAUUCCAUAAACUGGAAACAUGAUAUUGACUCUUCCUAAUGUCUGAGUAAAGUGGGGAAGGGGGGGAGAGAAGCCAAAUCAGCAUGGAAUGGAUUUCACCUGUGGUGUACAUCCCAGGCUUUGUGGUUGAGCACUUGCUUUGAUCUCACUUUGAUACUGAGUUCUGUCUCCUUCUCUACCUCCUGAUACUGAUGGAACUUUGAGCAAAAUAGUUAACAGCUUUGAGCCUCCCUUUCCUCAUGUGCAUGGUGGUGUUCAACAAGACACUGUAUGUAAGAUGCUUAGCACAGUGAUCAACAUGUAGUCAGUGUUAAUUAUUAUUGGUGAUGUCAUUCAGGUGUGCACACGAUCACCGUCUUGACAAAACUCAUUCUCAAGCCAAAUGACAAAUUCCCCAUUCAGUGGUAUUUGGGCUGUUUGUCCCAUUAAGUAUUCUUUGAGAAGUUACCAUGACUUAGAGUUUGGACCAGGAGAUAGCUUAGAGAAACUCGUGCACCAGGAACUCUGACUCCAAGGUUCUAAGGACGACUUGUAAUUUUCAGAUCCUCAUCUGUUCCAGGUACUUUGCUCUAUUAUCUCCUUUAAUCCUCCUUAUAACCCUGCAGGCAGCUUUUGUUGGGGUUACAUGGAUGAGCUAAACAGAAGAGGCUGUCAAGUGGAGCCCUAGGGACUGGGAAGCCAGGGGAAUUCACAGGACUCACCUGGGCCCCUCCCAGCUCCCUCCCUGUGUGAGCCACAGUCAGCAAGGAAUCCCACUGGACAGACACCAUAGGAGCAGGACAUUCUCACCCACCUUCCAGGGCAAGAAAAAAUUCAGGGCCUCCCUCAAGAGUGCUCUUGGCCUCUCUUCUGGCUUCCUGCCCCUUCCCUUCUUUGAUUUUUUAAUUUUUUUUCAGAAAAGACAUGGACAUAAAUAAUCUGUGCCAGAGUAUGAAUAAAUAUCAGCGACCAGCUUCGCAUCCUAGGGGAUAUUUUGCUUUUGCAGUUUGAUCUCUUUAUAUCUUUUUGAGUGUAACACCAAGACUCCACAUUGCUCUCUAAUUAGCAUCCAAUAUCAGCAGCCUCCCUCCCUCCCACCCAGACAACCUGCCCAUGAUUCUUUGCUGGUUCUAACAAGAAGGUUAGAGACCAGGCGUACACAUCCUCAUUCUUCUCAUCUCCAUGAUCCUAUGGAAGCUGCUCCCUCUGCUGGAAUGUUCUUCACACACCCAAACACUGUCUCUGCUUGAAGGCUUGGUUCAAAUAUCACCUCCUCCAAGAAGUCCUCCUUGAUCUCACACCUGGAAAGAACUUUUCUCUCAGAGAAACUAUUAGAGCAUGGCUUCACAAUUUUAUUUCAAAUUUAAUUUUUUUUUUUUUUUUUGCCUGUUGAAACUGCCCAGAGAGUUUGUUACAAUUGCAAAUUCAGAUAGAGCAGGUCUGUGGGGGGCCUGCAAUUCUGCAUUUCUAACACCGCACCCCCUGCCCCAUAAUCCUGAUGCUUCUGGUCUGUGCAUUACAUGUAGAGUAGCAAGCAAUCCCCAAGUCUGGCUGUGUAUCAGAAUCACUUGACAAGCAUAUUAAAAACUGUGGGUCCUGGAGCCAGAGGUUAAUCCAGGUUUUGCAGGGCCUGAGCUCAUUCCAUAUGGAAAGUAUUUGUUUUGUCUAAAUGUAAAAUUAUGAAUAAGAAAUUGCUAGAGUUCCUCUCAGGGCCCUGGAAGAGGCUGUGGAAGUGAAGGGCCUUCGAGUGUAAACUUCAUUAGUUUCACACUAAAUCCAUCUUUGCCUGGGGCCCACACACCAGCAGACUCUCAGGAGGUUGGAGCUAUGUGUGUGUGUUGUUUUGCUUUCAGAAUUUCUCCAGGUGACUCUUAGCAACCAAUCCCUGGAUCCACCCCGACCUUUAGGAAAGGCUGCCCCGAAGUACUGGAUCUCCUUCCGUCUCCCCACCCUCACCAGGGCCCCUGUGUCAGGCACUGGAUGGAGCCCCCUGGACACAGGAUCAGUGAACCCACAGGCCACUCCCCUUAAGAGCUCCUGCUCAGCUCUGCACAGAGAACACUGCUUCAGGUGUUUGUCUAGGUGCUGGGGGACGAGAGGAGAGUACAAAACUCAGCUGGACAGGAGGGCCCUCCUGGGGGUUUCCCAGAGGGGCUGAUAUUGAGCUAGCUCUUGCCUAUUUCCCAUCUUCUGCAAGCAGAGGGAAUAGCUGUGUGGAGGCAGGCAGGCCUGAAGGAACAUCCUCUUCAAGAACUACUGAUAACUCCACCUGUGUCAGGGGAGAGGGCUGUGAGAGAUGGGUCUGCAGAGGUGCCCAGGGUCUCAGGAUCUAGGGCGCAUUUGGAAUGGAUAGUUGACAGUGAGAGGUUUUCAGACAGGGGAUAAUCCCAAUCACAUCUUUUUUCUUUAAAAAAAAAUUUUUUUUUGACAUGUGCAUGCAUUAUUUUCAAAUUCCAACUAUCAUUAUUCUUUUUCCUUAAC
rnacentral:lncRNA from 1 species